AGGGAGGGAGAAAGGAGGUCUGAGAGUCAGAUCUCUGCCAUCUUCAUCUUCCCCUUCUUCGUGUACCCAGCACUGGCAUUUUUGGUGUUAAUUGUUCUUGUUUGGGUGUUUGAUGUGGGAGAGAAUAGGAGGAGGGUUUUUCCCGGCGGUGAUGAAGACGGAGGAGGUGGGGAGGCCAGGGGACAUAAAUGGCAGUGGAAGUGGGCGUUGGGAAAGCGCCGUAAGCAGUCCAGGACUCGCAUUAGCUGCUACACCAGUUGAGCCAACUAAUGGAUAAAUGUCUGACAAAAUAAUUCAGUAAUAUUCAUAUUAAUAUAAAAGGGUAAAACAGUUUUCCCCUCAACUUUCACCUCACGUUCGAUUUCCCCUUAACUUUUCUAUUGGAAAAUUAAGGACUCAAACUAAUUUUUUUAGCCAAUUUGCCCCCUACCGUUAGUUUUCAUAUAUUUCAUCCAUAUUUCCGUUAAGUGAGACCAUGUGCACAACAUGUGAGGAUAGUUAAGUUAUUUCACUCUUAAAAAUAAUUAAAAACUGAAAAUAAAUAAUAAUAUGUUGUGGUCUAUUUUAUCUGACAGAUGGACUAGGGCCGGCGGCAGAGAGAGAGGAGAGAGAUGUGUGUUUGUAGAAUUGUAGGGGAAUGUGUGUGUUGUUAUCCCUCCUACAUUGUGCCUUUAUUUAUAGUAGUAAAGGGAGAGAAGAUAUUCCUUCUCCUCCAAGUAAUACAAGUUGUAAUAGGAAAGGAUAACUAGAAUCAAAUCUUAUCUAGGAUUUACACAAUCAUACUUAAACUAGGAAUGUUUACAACACUCCCCCUUGAGUGGGUAAAUACUCAAGGUAGAUUCAGCAUCAUGCAGAAGUUGAGGAAGUCGACUCGUCGGCAAUGAUUCCAAGGAACAACGCUUAUUCUCAAUAAGGUAGGAACUUGCAUAAGUAGUAAGUCUCACUAAAAAAACCCUAAGGCUAUGGCAAAAACUCAAGUAGGGACAAAAUCCAUAGUCUAAGGAAAAAUGCUUGAGAAAUGCAAAGUCAAAAGAAACGUCUACAGGACGUCAUCAGGGAUAUGACCAGCCCAAGGUGGGUGUCUCGUUAAAACCUAGUUAGGUAGUAAAAACCCAGUGGGAAAAAUGCUCCUAAUCGUAGGGAAAAAGAGUACAUUAAGAUCAAGCAAGUAUCUAGAAGAUACUCCCCCUGAGUUUGACAUAAUUCCACAGAGAAAUAGCAAAAUUACAACUCAGAAAGUUUACGCAUACCAAUUCCAUGAACAAGCUUCUGAAACGUCGCCUUCGGUAGUGAUUUGGUGAAGAGGUCGGCCAGAUUGUCUUGUGAUCGGAUUUGUGUGACUUCAAUCUUCUGAUGCUCUUGUUGUUGAUGUGUAAAGAAGAACUUCGGCGCAAUAUGCUUGGUGUUGUCUCCUUUGAUGUAACCCUUCUUGAGCUGUUCGAUGCAAGCUGCGUUGUCUUCAAAAAUCGUCGUCGGGGCAUUAACGGCGGGAUGAAGAUCACAGGAGCUUCGAAUAUGGCCCACUACUGCUCUCAACCAAAAGCAUUCCCGAGUUGCUUCAUGUAAGGCGAGAAUUUCAGCAUGGUUAGACGAAGUGGCAACUAAGGUCUGUUUAGUUGACCUCCAAGAUAUUGCGGUGCCUCCAACGGUAAAGACAUAACCCGUUUGAGAACGCGCCUUGUGCGGAUCAGAUAAGUAUCCAGCGUCGGCAUAACCAACAAGGCAAGAAUCAACCCGAUGAGCAUAGGGUGCGGCAUCACUCGAGGAUUCGUAGGGAUAGAAUAAGCCCAAAUCCGUAGUACCCUUAAGGUAACGGAAGAUGUCUUUCACGCCAGUCCAAUGUCUGCGUGUUGGUGCAUUGCUGUAUCUUGCCAAAAGAUUAACAGCGAAGGAGAUGUCGGGUCUAGUGCAUUGAGCUAAGUACAAUAAAGCGCCUAUCGCACUUAGAUAAGGAACUUCAGGCUCCAAAAUCUCUUCAUCAUCCUCCUUCGGACGGAAGGGAUCUCGCUUUGCAUCUAGCGUACGAACGACCAUAGGAGUACUCGAAGGCUUCGCUUUAUCCUCAUUAAAACGGCGCAACACUUUCUGGGUGUAGUUCGAUUGAUGUACUAGGAUUCCAUCCGAACAAUGCUCUAUCUCGAGGCCGAGACAGUAUCGAGUCUUAUCUAGAUCUUUCAUCUCAAAUUCCGACUUCAGGUGCGAAGCAGUUCUCGCGAGCUCUUCAGGAGUUCCGAUGAGAUUCAUGUCAUCGACAUAUACUGCAACAAUCGCAAAUCCGGAAUGUGACUUCUUAAUGAACACACAAAGGCAUAGUUCGUUAUUCACAUAUCCCUGACUAGUCAAAUACUCACUUAAACGGUUAUACCACAUUCUUCCGGAUUGUUUCAAACCGUAUAGUGAACGCCUCAGCCGAAUUGAGAGCGUGUUCCGGGGUUUGGAAAUAUUUGAACCAGUCAAUGUAAGUCCUUCGGGAACUUUCAUAUAAAUUUCCGUAUCAAGAUCCCCAUAUAGAUACGCGGUUACUACGUCCAUCAGCUGCAUAUCCAGUUUUUCAGAAACUACCAAACUGAUAAGGUAUCGAAAAGUAAUCACAUCCAUAACGGGUGAGUAAGUUUCGUCAUAGUCAAUCCCGGGGCGUUGUGAGAAACCUUGUGCUACAAGACGAGCUUUGUAACGCACAAUUUCGUUAUUCUCAUUACGCUUCCGAACGAAAACCCACUUGUAGCCAACGGGCUUCACAUGUGGAGGAGUAGGAACUACAGGUCCAAACACCUUACGUUUCGUAAGUGAAUCAAGUUCGACUUGGAUUGCUUGUUUCCAGUUUGACCAAUCAGCUCUACGUCGACAUUCAUCAACGGAACGCGGUUCAAUGUCAUCGCUCAACAUGAUCUCAGUAGCUACUGCAAAUGCUAAUGCAUCGUCGACAAUCAUCUCAUUUCUACGCCACACAUCAUCUAAGCUAGCAUAAUAGACCGAAAUCUCACGAUUCUCGGGAGGAGGAUUCGUCUCUUCAAGGACGCUUCCAUAAUCUAGAAUUUCCUCAUGAGUUGGGUAAAAUGAGUAAACGAUAGUCGGAUUCACGGUAGGCUCUUCAGGACCUUGUGCCGUGGUUUUCCUCUUCCGGGGGUGUGAAUCCUUUGAACCAAGGGGUCUGCCACGCUUUUGUGUAGGGGCAAAUGAUAGGCUAGCCGCUAAUGUACGUGGAUCACCAUCCCGGGCUUCCAGGAGGGUAGUCCGUCGUACAUUUGGUACAUCCAUCUUUGCAGGCGUAUUCGCAGCUGGAAUAUGUGAUCUUGUCACGCGCGCUAGAUCGGUGAAAGCAUCUGGCAUGCUCUGAGCUAUGCUCUGGAGAUCUAAUAUGCGCUGCACUUCAGCUUCAGACUGAGCGGUGCGGGGAUCUAAAUGAGACAAAGUGGGAGUCGUCCACGAUAAUUCGCGUCGUUCAUUAGGAACGUUGACGUUCUUAUCUCCCCCUAACGACAGGAAGACUGUCUCAUAGAAGUGACAAUCCACGAAACGAGCGGUAAACAGAUCGCCUGUCAAAGGUUCUAAGUAACGAAUAAUCGAAGGAGAAUCAUAUCCGACAUAGAUUCCCAUCCUUCGCUGAGGCCCCAUUUUUGUACGUAAGGGCGGCGAGAUCGGCACAUAGACCGCACAACCAAAAACGCGCAGAUGCGAUAUGUCGGGUUCGCAUCCGAUGACCAACUGAAGGGCACUAAAUGGUUGUGUCGCAACAGGCCUCAGGCGGACCAACUUUGCUGCGUGCAAUAUUGCAUGGCCCCAAAGCAGCGAUCGGGAGCUUGGUACGUAUGACCAACGAUCGAGCAAUCAUUUGUAAACGCUUAAUGAAAGCCUCUGCCAGGCCGUUCUGGGUGUGAACAUGGGGUACAUGAUGUUCAACUUCAACCCCAACCGACAUGCAAUAGUCAUCAAAAGUUUUAGAUGUGAAUUCUCCAGCAUUAUCCAAUCGAAUAGAUUUUGAUCGGAUAAUCAGGGUGGUGAGCCCUGAGCUUGAUAACCUGAGCCAACAGUUUGGAGAAUGCAGCGUUCCUUGUGGACAACAAGCACACGUGUGACCAACGUGUAGAAGCGUCAACCAAAACCAUAAAAUAUCUAAAUGGUCCACAGGGAGGUUGAAUCGGUCCACAAAUGUCCCCCUGAAUCCGUUGUAGAAAAAUGGGAGGAUUCGAACGAAUCUUGUCAUAAGAAGGCUUAGUAAUAAGCUUUCCCAUAGAACAUGUUUGACAUGCAAUUUCAUGGAUCGAACCUAAGCUUCGGGUUAGUGGAUGCCCGUGUGAAGUUUUGAGGAUACGGCGCAUCGCUAUUCGUCCAGGAUGUCCCAAACGAUCAUGCCAAAGUGUAAUUUCUUGCGCGGUCCAUGUGGUAGGGCUGGCCACAUAGUGGCAUUCGAUGGGGCGUAUGGUCGUAGUAUACAGACCACUCGGGUUACGCUCCAUGUUCUCUAGAAUACGCUUCUGGCCAUAUUCGUAGGAAGUUACGCACAGAAAUUCAACUCCGUUUUCUACGUGGGUUUCAGCGUGGUAAUUGUUAUCUCUAAUGUCCUUGAAACUUAGUAACGUUCUUCCGGAACGUGGAGAAUAGAGUGCCUCAGCAAUGGUCAAGAUUGUACCAUUGGACAACAUUAUACGUGCCUUACCGUAUCUUUCGAUCAGGUUGGAUGGGCCUGAGAGGGUUGUCAGAGGUGCAUUUUUAGGUACGAAGUUAGUGAAAUAGAUGCGUUCACGCAAAACAGUAUGCGUGGUUGCACUAUCUGCCAGACAACUAACUUUCCCACUAGUCAUACCUAGAAUGAAAAAUUAAUUUGAAUCGGUCACAUGCAUAAAAGUUUAUAAAAACAAGUAUCAAUUCAAAAUAAUUUCAUUUAUUCAAGGAAAAAACUUAAUAUCCAAAAUAAAUCGCCAACUAAUAAUCCAAAACAUAAAGGAAAAUUGUUCAAAAUCAACCAAAAAACAAGGUGAGGUUCGGCCACAAGGUGGAAUUCGGCCCCAAUUGUCUUAUUUUAACUGAAAAAUAAGUCUAUGUCUAAGAUUCUAAUCUUCCAUAGGAGUGGUAUCCUCCUGAAAAUCAGAAACCUCCAUCUUUGUAGUCUCCGGUUCGUCCACUUGCAGGAAGUUUGAUUCAAACUUCGUACGACGAGAAUGAUAUGCAUCCACAACCUUCUUGGGAGCACGGCAAAUACGGGACCAAUGGUCCUUGGAACCACAACGAUAACACAUAUCGUCAUUCAUUGUGGCAGGUGCUUUGCCCUUAUUCUUGAAGUUCGGGGCCUUGGGAGCGAGGUUUGGGCGCUUAUGGGCUUUGUUUCCUCCCUUGGAUGGGCCUUGGCUCUGUUGACCUUGGUGGGAUGGCUUCUGGCCGCCCUUACCACGCCUCUUUUGGCGUUUUAGGUGCUGAUUAGUGCUAUAAUGUGCUUCAGGCACAGCAGUAGCCCCAGUAGGUCGAGCUUGAUGAUUCUUCAUCAACAGCUGGUUCUGCUUUUCAGCAAGAAGUAAAACAGAGAUCAAAUCCGAGAACUUAGUGAACUUCUGAGCUCUAUAUUGUUGCUGCAGGACAAUAUUAGAAGCAGAGAAGGUCGAGUAGGUAUUCUCCAUGAGAUCCUCUUCAGUCAAAGUUUCAUUGCAAAACUUAAGAAGUGAUCAGAUUCGACAAACUUCAUAAUUAUAUUCAUUCACAGACUUAAAGUCUUGGAAGCGCAAGUGCUGCCAGUCGUGUCUUGCUUCAGGCAAGAAUAUGUCCUUUUGGUGAUCGAAACGAUCAGCCAAAGCGACCCAUAAUGCACGUGGAUCCUCCUCAGCAAGGUACUCAGUUUGUAGAGCGUCAUGGAUAUGUCUUCGGAUGAAGAUCAUAGCAGUGGCUUUUUCAGCCUCGCCAACAGGUUUAUCUGUUGCUUCUUCAAUAGCAGGACGCAAGUUCUUUGCAGUGAGGUGGAGCUUCACAUCUUGAACCCACUUGAGGUAGUUCCUUCCAGAAACCUCCAAAGCGGUGAAGUCGAGUUUGUUCAAGUUCGACAUGUUCCUAUCACAAAAUAGAUGGACAAGAUGUGGUUAGUGUAAUGGAGAAAAAUCAAUCCAUUCACAUAGGAGUAGAACAUACAGGUUCUAAUAGACAUGUAUUGGUUUAAUUUUGCAUGAAAAACUUCGGGUUUUCAUGGGUGAUAUGUUUAAGUGAAAACUUCGGGUUUUCUAACAAGGCAUGUGUAUAAGAAACUUCGGGUUUCAAAGUAAUUAUGAACUUCAGGUUCAUAUAUUCCUGCAGGCAAACACAAAUAUACAUGCAAACAAAUAUGCAAAGAAUAUAUGCAGAAAUAUUGUAUAAUUAUAAGUGAAGUAAUUUAUUUUUGGUCUUCGGGGCCAAAUUAAAGUGUGGGUGAAAAUAUAAAAACCCAUAUUAUUUAAAAAAAAAAUUAAAUAAUAAAAUCUCGGGGCCUAAAAAUAUAGGCCGAGUACCCCCGGGUGUAGGCUGCAGGCCCACGGGGUGAGAAAGGAAUGGGCUGCCGUGUGCAGCCCUAAAACAAUUUCUCCUUUUUUCGGUAUGGGCUACUGCAGGCGAGCCCAGGAAAAUAAAAAAAUAAAUUGUUUUCUUUGUGGGCUGGGCCGCUGCAAGCGAGCCCAGCAAAAAAAAUUGUUUUUUUUUCUUUUGUUACACGGGCCGAUAGGCUGGAGCCCAAUAGGGCUCGGGUUGGAACCAGGAACACCCCAGCUUUUGCUGGGAACGGUUGCCGGAGCGUCGCCACUGCAGGUGGCCGUGUUCUGGGAGGCUAUCGAUCGUGGGAAACACGGGGGUCCAACUGGGGAACCAAAUAUGAACGGAGAUUGGAGAAAUCUCGACGUUAUAUCAACCAAACCCUAGAAAAUUUCAAUCGGAUUUAUGAAAAAUUCCGAUGAGAUCUCAGAAAAUCUCAGACCAUAGGACACCGUGGACGAUCUGCAGGUCGUCUGAGUAGGCUAGGCACGGCGACAGGCCGUGUAGCACGGUGAUGGAUGGGUGGCGACACCGGCUGGGUGUCGGGUUUGGGGUUUGGACGAGGAGCAGAAGCUCCAGCCGUGAUCUUGGGCUCGGAGGAUCGAUGCAGGCUGCAGGCCUGGUGAGGAAACCGAGCUGGGCCAUCGCAGGCUGCGGGCCUGGUGGCUUGCGGCCUUGCAUGGUGCACAGGCACGGGUUCGACUAGAACCCUAAUUUCCCCAAUCGCAAAAAUUUUCAAUUCAAAUAUAUUACAUGUAUAAUUUUAAUGAAUCACAUAUUUACGUUGAUGCAUAUGCAAAUAAUAGUUUCAAUGCAUGUACAUAUGUAGGAUUCAAUUCAUGACAAAUAUCAAAUUCACAUAAUUGUAGCAAUUUUGAUUAUGAAGCAUACACAAUUUACGUAGAAUCUAAAAUACGUAAAACGUAAAGUUGGGUCAUGCAUCAUGGUGAAUGUUCAUGCUAUCAGGGCUUGCAAAAUAUCGAGUUAAAAGCCGUUGUUUGGAAAGAACCUGAUUGCGUGAUGAUAUGGAUGAACUGGUUUGAUGCAGAAAAAAAAAUCUCCAACGUCAGAUUCCUAAGCGCAGCGGUAGGAGCGUGCUGAUAACGUGUUGUGGUCUAUUUUAUCUGACAGAAGGACUAGGGCUGGCGGCAGAGAGAGAGGAGAGAGAUGUGUGUUUGUAAAAUUGUAGGGGAAUGUGUGUGUUGUUAUCCCUCCUACAUUGUGCCUUUAUUUAUAGUAGUAAAGGGAGAGAAGAUAUUCCUUCUCCUCCAAGUAAUACAAGUUGUAAUAGGAAAUGAUAACUAGAAUCAAAUCUUAUCUAGGAUUUACACAAUCAUACUUAAACUAGGAAUGUUUACAACAUAAUAAAAAAUUUCUCUCUAGCAUGUACUACCAUUUUUAUUUUCUCUAACAAAUUAAUAAUUUGACAAAUGCUCAUGGUGUUAUUAUCUCCAAAGCAGUACAUUAAUAUAAGAAACAUGUCCAUAAAAAAGACUAGGGUUUCUUAUAUUAAUGCACUGCUUUGGAGACAAUAGCACCAUUAGCAUUUGUCAAAUUAUUAAUUUGUUAGAGAAAAUAAAAAUGGUAGACAAUAACACCAUAUGUCAUUUCUCAUGCAUAGGAAUGAGAGGGAAAAAUAAAAUCGAGGAUAGGAAUUAGCGGGAAAAAAUAGAGGGAAAGUUUUGUUUUUUUUUAUUUUCAGUUUUUUAAUCAUUUUUAAGAGUGAAAUGACUUAACUACCCUCACAUGUUGUGCAUAUGGUCUCACUUAACGGAAAUAUGGAUGGAAUAUAUGAAAAACUAACGGUAGGGGGCAAAUUGGCUAAAAAAAUUAGUUUGAGUCCUUAAUUUUCCAAUAGAAAAGUUCAGGGGGAAAAUCGAAAGUCAGGUGAAAGUUCAAGGGGUAAACUAACAGUUUACUCUAAUAUAAAAUAAUAUACGCUAUGUUCCUUUUCUUUUCAUAUUAACCAAAUCAAGAGUUAUCUUUUAAUAGUAAGUUAUUAAAUAUAGUCCAUGAUUGGAAAACUGCACUUGAUGUAUCAGAUCGUGUUUUCGGUAUACUGAAACAUAAAUUGACAUGUACUUGAUAAAAUUCGAGAAAUUUGUCUCAGUGAUUGAGACAUUUUUGCUACAAUAGCUCCCACAACGGAGUUGCCCACUUCAAUCUAGAGUGGCCGACGACAUACGCCAAACUAACAUAUACACUUACAAAAAAAAAAAUAGAAACUAGACAAGGUUGUAGCUCCAAUUAAGAAUGCAUUACAUUAUGCGUCAAUGUUUACUAAUUACAUCAAUUAUUAGGCCGGUUCUUUGAUUUUGAUAUGAAACAUAGUGCUACUUCAAAGAUCCCCAAUGUUUUAUUUAAUAGACCUUUCCAUGCACAUCAUGUAAUGCAAGAAGUUUCAGGGACUAAUUAAAUAGCGAAAAUGAGGUGAUCACAAAAGGGAUCAAUCAAAAUGCCUUAAUUGUACCAACUAAUGAAGUUAUUUGAAGGGUUUAUAAUCAUAUUUAGAAUGCUAAUCAUUGAUCGUCUCCUUAAAAAAAAAGAGGACGUGAAACCAACGAAAUGUGAACACAACACCGUCGUGGACAUGAGCUGUUUGUUGGCCAUGAUAAGAGUAGUUAAUCUAUAUGGAUGUGUAUAGAUUAUCAAUUAAGUUUAUUCUUUAGACGGAGAUCGAUAUCUAAAUGUACAUGUACGAUUUACAAUCUCACAAUUUAACAUGUCAAAUAUCCGACAAACAAAUAACUCUGAUUUCUAAAUUGUAGCUUCCUUCUCAAUCUCUCAUUAAUUUGCACCUUUCUAUAUGUGCACCUUCUCAAUCUCGCAUUAAGUUGACAAAUCGAAAACAUAAAUAGAUAAACUUGCAAACCAACUCUGAUUUCUAAAUUGUAUUUGUUGUAGUAGUACCUAAUGGGCCGGGCUCAUGAGGACCAGUGGCAAUUUUGAAAUAUCACAACAAAUACAGUACCAUUUUUGUCACAAAAAUCGAAACGAAAAAUGGAUUAACGACAAUCGUUUUUCUAACUCAAACCAUCGGCAUCUCUCAUUGUCUCUGUCGUCUUCUGAUUUUCCUCCGAAUCGGAGAAGAAAGGCAACCAAAUCCUGGUCCUCCGAAAUAUUGGUCCUUCGAUUUCGUGGUUUUCUGAUUCUUCCCGGUGCUCCUUAUUGUUACGAACCUAAUUUGUAAUUGAGGUUUAUGCUUUAAGAGUCAAAUUAGUUGUAAUCGAGAGGUUUUAAAUUUGAUAGAAAUGCCAGGUGGCGGAAGAGCACCUGCUCUUUGGUUUGAAAGGAGAACAGAAUUUUACAAAACAAAUCAAUACAAAAAUAUUGGAGCUCUGCUCCUUCUAUCUUCCUCCUUCCUUCACUUCUAUGUGCAAUAGUAAAGGUUUGAGUUAGGGUUUGAGAUUUGGGUUCUAACAUAUGCGUGAGUUAGGGUUUGAGAUUUGGGUUCUAACAUAUGCGUACUGCAGCCUGAGCGCGAGGCGCUCUCGAUUGAUUCCAUGGUCUGAUCUUCCGCGAAUCGCAAUCGGACGGUGGCGAUGGCGUCGACGCAGAACCAAUCGGCGCAUGUGGAUCUCUUCGAUGCGUAUUUCCGACGGGCCGAUUUGGACCGCGAUGGCCGGAUUAGUGGCAAUGAAGCCGUCGCUUUCUUCCAGGGCUCUGGUCACCCAAACAGGUCCUUUGCGCAGGUUCUCUCUCUCUCUCUCUAUAUAUAUAUAUGUAUGUAUAUGCUUGAGUAUAUAUGUAUAAUUGGAUGUGUGUGUAUGAUUAUAUUUGUGUUUCGAAUCAGAUUGAUUUUGAAUUUGUAGUCUAAUUGUAGUAAUGUGAACUUGGGAUGUCUUAAUUCUCUGAUCUAAGCUGAGAUUUUUAUUUAGUAGAAAAUAAGUAGAUGAAGAAUUUAUCUAGUGUUAGUAUAAAUGCGGAACUGAUGUAUCCGUUCGACCAGAGGUGGUAAGCAGACUUUAGAAAUGUGUUAUAUGUCCCAAGGAUUGAUCGAGGACUGUUUAUUACAUUAGAAUUGUGCAGUAGUGAAAACCUGCAGAAUAAGAUGACUAUGGAGUAGUUAGGAUUGGCGCAUACAGGGGAAAUGUUCUUGGGUCAGGAUCAUAUCGAUAAAUAGGUUCUUGAAGCUGUAUACUUGUUUUGCUGAAGGAAUUUUCGUAUAAAAUGAUAACCAGGGGCGUAUUAUGUUAAAUAUUGAUUAUAUGAAUCAAGCAUAUUUUUCUGCAAGAUGCUUUGCUGCUGGAUGCUCAUUCAUUGCAUGAUGUGUUCGUAUUUUGAUGUAAAAACUUACAUAUGCCAUAGAUAUUUUGUAGAUAUAAAUUUUAAUUUGUGAUUGGGAGUAAUCUUUUUCUGGCCAAUUGACAUACGAACAUCCAUAAAUAUAUACUAUUAAAUUGAGUCAUGUCUAAAUGUGCAGUCUAGAUUGAUAGAAUGACUACCCAUCAUGCCACAUUAUCUUUGAUGGAGCGGUUUAGGGAGGGACGCCCUCUUCCAGCAGUGCUACCAAGCAAUGUUAUGCUUGAUUUAAAAAAUAUUUUUUAUUUAUUUAUUUUUUUUUUGAAUCUAGUGUCUCCGGGUUUUUGACCCGACUACUCACUAGGCCACCCGCCUGACCCCACAACAUUUGGUAAGCAAGAAACUCUAGCAAUUGCUAGGUGGGUACCUUGAGAGGUGUCGAACCCCAGACCACUUGGUAACAAACCAAGGACCUGACCAUUAGACUAAACACUCUUAGGUAUUUAUCCAAUAUUUUUCAACCUGCAAAUAAUUACUCCAAUGCUGGCAAUGUAGCCUGGAGACCUGCUUCUGGUAUUCAUCCAUAAACAAAUCACUUAUUUUUUGAAACAUGUCUUCCUUUGAUGUAGAAUAGUUUCUUAUUUUUCACUUUAAAAGGCUUUCAACAACAGCAACUGAUGCCUGGUCCUGGUGCUCGGCACAUGGCACCCCCAGCUGGAGGGAGGCCACCGAAGACAGUUGCUCCUUCUCAUGCUGAGGAAAAGCAGCAGGCCAAUUAGUGGAAACCCAGAGUACCAGAAUUGGAGAAACAUCUUUUAAAGCAACUGAGUACAGAGGAGGUUAACUCACUGAACUUAAAGUUCAAAGAAGCAACCGAAGCUGAUAAAAAAGGUACUUAGAACUUUAAUGUUUCCCCAAUUUUCUCAUCUUGAGCAGCAAAGUUAUGUGUGCAUGUUACUUCCUGAUAAGUGUCGAAUCAUAACAAAUAUCCCAGAGACUUGAAGAAAGAAAUUUGGAUGCUAGAGAGAAAAUUGAAUAUUUCCGGGUCAAAAUGCAGUUCAGCCAUCGAAUUUGUAAUGUAUCUUUUGUAUUUCAUUUCUUUGUGUAUGCAUCUCGCUUUUUCUUCAUUAUUUUCUUCCUUUAGCUUGUAGCGCGAUGUAUAAUUUUCUCCCUUAAUUUUGGAAUGUUCCUAGUCCUAUUGAAGCAAAGAGCCCUAUAGUUUUAUCGUUGUUACAAAUUCGGUGAUUGUAUUAUUAAACUGGGUCUGUGCCUUUCUUUUUUCAGCCUUAAUUUGCUGUAAUUUUUCUACCCUCUCUAACAAAAUUUGUUUCCCUGAUCUUUGUUUGGUGCAAACAAGAACACUGAGUUUUUCCGGUGUUAGUCCAAUCGGGACAUUCAUAUUUUUGGCUCAUUGCAGUUCAGCCAUUGAACAAUCGCAUAUUUUUGUCGUGUUGAAUGUUCAAACCAUCGCGCUUGGUUGUGAGAUUUUUACUUUGCCCUGGCAUGGUGUGUUAAUUAAUGUCUAUGUUUACGAUAUAAAGGUAAAUCAAGUUUUAAAGAUAAACAAAUAGGCUAUUAUACACUUCCAUAACUAGCGCUUUAUAAUGUAUAAAGCAUAAACAAUACCAAAAUAAUAAGUCCUUGCCUAGUUGUUGUCUUAUUUCUUGGUCAGACAAGUGAGCUAUCAAAGUACAAAUUUGGCUUAAAAAGUUUUUCCUAAUCACUUUCAUUUGCUUCAGACUCAUCACUUGAUCCACCACCUUUGGAAUCAUCAUCUUGUCUUGUUUCUUCGGCAAACAAUUUGAAUUUCUCAGCAUCUUCGGCAUACAAUGGGCAUAUACCACAGCUUUCCACCUUCAUAUCGUAAUGCGGGAGAGGAGGUCGUCCUUCAACAUCCACCAGGCAGAAGACAACAGAGGCCUCUUUGGCAAGUUUGUAAACAUCAGGGGAGCAGUUUUUUCCUACCUCUUCACUUCUAAAGGCCUCAUUCCACACACGCACGUGAUGUAGGCGGCCAUAGGAGCGUAGGAUAAUGUACUUAGAACUGAACAGUUCAUGGCUUUCACCCAUGAAUUUGACAAUGAAAUUAGCACUUACACUGCAGUCUUCACAGUCCCACUCGUUGUUAAUAACAACAGAGAGAGCGAAACCAAAUAAACCUGUUCGAAACCAAUCUGGACAAAGCACGAUGUCUACUGAAGAUCCCUCAUUUUGAUAGCUGAACCAAUUUGGAAUUUCUUUUCCUGGACAUACAAUCUUAAUCUGAGGCCACGGAUCCUUCCUUGCCAUUCGCAUAAUUGUAAUCUGUGCAUCAUCCAUUAUGUUGCUCCUUGAAUUAUUAUCCAAUUUUGGGCAAUUAGUAAAAUCUCUGAUACAAUAAUGAGGUUUAUCCCAACCUUGUGUGAGUGCUGUCCUUGAACUUGACACAAUCUUCAGCGACAUGCAGCCUUCAGCUCUAACAUUACAUAGCACUGGGAGCUCUGGUAUAGAUUGAAGCCGCUCGCAGUAGUUUAAGUCGAGUAUAGACAACCGAGAAGCUUGUUUGAUGCUUGCUGGUAUUUCCAAUAUACCACUGCAGCUGAGUACUAGUUCUUCUAAAGAGAGAAAACCAACAGAGCUGGAAGGCAAUUUUUCAAGUCUCCAACAGCCACAAAAGUCGAGACGUUUAAGAUUGGUUAAACUGUAGAUACUUGUUGGGACAUCCUUAAGUCGCUUGCAGCAGCUAAGUUUUAAAUCUUGAAGCCUAAUUAGAUUUCCAAUAGACGAUGGAAGCAUUUCGACAGCUGUAUCUUCCAAACUAAGAGACACCAAAUGUUCCAUUGGCUUCAAGAUUUCGGGGAAUUUGGAAAAUUUAUGGCACUGGAGAUCAAGACUCUCAAGAUAUUUCAACUUACAGAUUGAUGAGGGUAGCUCUGUAACUGCUAUUCCAUUUAAAUGUAAGGACUUCAACUGUUCCAUUGGCUCCCAAAUCUUUGGGAGGUUUUCAACUUUAUACGAGAAACCAAGAUAGAGUUUCUUGAGAUUUUUCAACUUACACCUGCUGCUUGGAAGUUUCUUAAGGUGGCAGUAAUCUAAAUUCAAGUAAGAAAUAUUUUCGUUAGACCAAACUGAGUCAGGCAACUCCUCUAUACCAUUCCCUUCUAAAUUUAAGUAUUGAAUAUUUCCUGGCAUCUCUGGAAGAUACUUGAGCCUGCAGCCUCCAAGAUGAAGAUGAGUAAGCUUGUCAAGAUGUUGAAAAUACGAAGGAAUUUCAACCAAACUUCUACACCAACUGAGAUUUAUCUUCACAAUUUUUAGACUCCCAGAGAGAUUUGGAACUUCAAUUAGAUUACUAGAGGAAGACAGAUCGAUAACUUGUAAGUUGACAAGUAUCUGCAACAAAUUAAAUAGAAAUAUAAAGAAUUAAUAUAAUUUCUACACUUGAUAUUAUACAAGAAUUAAAGUAGGCAUAUAACAUAAUAUACCUGUUCUUCUUUCCAAAGCUUCUUAACUUUGCUAUGUGGCAUAUGAAGCUCAACUAGAUUUUCCGGAGUAAAAUUUGAUGGCAAAGAUUCUAGUGGAUAUCCUUUCCAUUUAAGAUAACGAAGAGAAUUGGGAAGGUCUAGAGAAUUGGAAAGGUCUAGAUAACCGGUGAAUAAGAAGCCACCACCCAAAAUUAGCAUUAUUAGGUUAGACAUCUUUUUGAAGCCAACAUGUUUCAAUGAUCGCCCUUGAAGAUUAAAUGACUCUAAGGCUUCAACAUUUGGAGUUUCCUGAGAAUAAAAAGAAAGUUUAAAUGUUAAUAUAUAUGUUUUCAACAUGUUAAAAUGUAACGCACAUUUGGAAUAAAGAGUAUUUGCGAUGGUAAUCAUGUACAAGUGUCUUAGUCUAGUCAAAUAUCCAACAUAAUUGUAUCCUCCUCUACUUGUCUAAAUAAACAAAUGUUUGUUCAUAUUCCAAACACUUCCUAACACAAUAAAUAUUCAAUCAAAUUCAUCUUUUAACAAUCUCACUUCUUUAUUAUAAAUUAGUUUUACUUUGUUGUGUUAUCAUCUCAAGUUUGUAAUUUUUAUUUUCUAAAAAAAAGAAAGGAAAAAAAUUGAAUGCAUUUGGCUCUUACCUUGUUACUCCUCAAUACACGAUAGACAUCCUCAUCAUUGAACAACCUACUCCGUUUACCAGGAUCUUUAAUACCUUGUUCUUGAACAAUUUUCCUUCCCAUUUCUUGUAGCAAAUCGUGCAUCUCUAUGGUUUCCAUUCCCCGUUUUGAAUCAAUUGAUAUGAGAGACAUCUCAAUGAGAAUUCUAAUUCCAGAUGUCGCAAAGAAUCCACGAACAUCUAACAUUCGUUUUACCUCAACCGGAGACUUCCCUUUAUGAAAACAUGCUAUAUCCAGAAAUAUCUCCUUCUCAUUGUCUCCCAAUUUAUCAUAACUUAUUCUCAACACUUUCUGGACAUCUUCACUGGGAAAUCGUUUCAAUUUGUUGAAUUCAUCUUCCCAUUCUUCUUUGCUCUUGCAAUUGAAGAACAAGGACCCCAGAACUGUAAGAGCUAAAGGAAAGCCUCUGGCAUAAUGCACGACCUUUUCUGCCAACUCCUUAUAAUCUGUCCUACGAGUACUGUUAUCCUUGAAAGCACGCGAAUAGAAGAGCUGAAGAGCGUCAUCCUGUUUUAAUUCCUCAACCUUGUAGAUAUUAUCCUCUUCAACAGUUUUCCCAAAUAUGCCCCUAUCUCUAGUUGUGAUAAUGAUUCUACUUCCAGUGCCAUACUGAAGACGAUCGCCAGCUAAACGUUCCAUUUGCAUUGAACUACUCACAUCAUCAAGAACAAUGAGAACCUUUGUGCGGCUGAGCCUUUUUCGAACACCAGGUGCUCCUAUGGAUAGACCUUCUUCCUUUAAUAUCUCCUUAAGAAGUGUUUUUUCCAAGUGAUCUAGUCCAUCUGCUUUUUCUGAGUUCUCCCUAACAUUCUUAACAAAACAAGAAGCUUCAAAUUUAGAAGAGAGUUUGUGAAAUAUAGUUUCAGCAAGGGUGGUCUUGCCAAUACCACCCAUGCCCCAAAUACCGACAGUGAUGCAAGCAUCCGAUGAAUGAAUGCCUAAUAGCGAUUCGACCUGCUCGAUGCGGCUUUCAAUUCCAAACAAGCCCUUUAAAUUGCAGGAUGAUGCGCGACACAAUUUGGUCCAAAUAUCUUCAACAACUUUCUUAACUAAAUCAGCAUCCGUCCUGGCAUAUAUAUGUAGGAAAGUAAUAGUUAGUCUUAAAUAUUUAUACCUUACAAAAUCUUAGCACAAUAAAAUCAUCACAAGUUUAAAGAAAAUUUAUAAUUUUAUACAAGUUAAAAGAAUUGGUUAGUUACCCAUAAUGUUUUGAAACAAUACAUUCUUCAAAGCAUCCCUCCACUUGUGCACCUUGUCGAUGCUGUUCUGGAAACGUUGUUCAAGUUGAGCAAAUGCAACCUUAUAACUCCUCCGUUGUUUUCGUACAUGCGAUGGAAGGGUCUCGUAAAAAAUGGGUAUAACCAACUGGCCAUGUUUUCGCUCGCAUUCUAGGAUAUGCACAAGCUCAUCCAAACACCACGUGGAAGAAGCGUAGUCUUUCGAUAAAAUGAUCACCGAAAUCUCUGAUUCCUUGAUUGCUUUGAGAAGGGCAGGCUCGAUUUUAUCUCCUCUCUUAAGCUCGUUAUCAAUAAAGGUCGUGAUUUUUUUCUCACGUAAGGCAGCGUGGAGGUGGCUGGUGAAAGUACGGCGGGUGUCCUCACCUCUGAAACUAAUAAACACAUCGUACUUGUUUGUAUCAUCAGCAUCAGCAGGAGCAGCAGUGGAUGAAGAAGAAGAAGCGAUAUCCACAACAUCUAGUUUUCAGAUCCAGCAAGAAGAUGGAGUUGCAGAGAGAUUAAUUGUUAAUUAAAGAGAGAUAAUUUUAUGACGUUGCAGGAAUAAAGGAGAAUUUACUUAGAAUUGGCUUUUGAGUAGAUGCACAAAGUUUCAAUGGGUGAGAGAUGAACGAAAGUAGAAAAUGGGGCAUAGGCACAUAUUUUCUUUAAAAAAUAUACUUCAAAGAAAGAUAUUCAUAUAUUUGCAAUCUUAAUAUGAACAGCGUCAUCUCAGCAUGUAAAACUACUAGUAUUUGAAAACCAUAAAAUGAUAUAAAUGCAAACCUUUUCUCCUUGCUUUGCUCCCCUCACAAUCGGUAUCAUCAUCGUCUCCAGAUCGAUUCCUGUAAGUGAUGUUUUGGUUAUGUUUCGUACAGUUAAUCAGAUUACCAAAAAAGGACGCAAAAAAUAAACUUGAGACCUCUUUCUUUUGUUCUCUUCCUUCUUUUCUAUUUCCAUUUGCUCUUUCUCCUUCAAUCUUUCGUAAUUAAGUUUUUCAGAACAUCUGUAAAGAGAACCGUUGAAUCCAAACGUCAAAAGGAAGACAAUUGAUAAAGAUGCAAACAAAACAAAGCGACAUCCAGUCACUAGCCAAGAAAUUAACAGCAUACAUAACAAAAAUUAAUUAGCAAUUUAAAUGCCAUCACAACAUAACACCAAAACUUAUUAAUUAAAAAUAAAUGACAAAAAAAAUACAGUAAGAGCCUUAAACAGUAUCAAUAAACACCAACUAACCUCUGACAAGUUACCAAUUUGACAAGGGCUUGUUUAUUUUCUCCACCUUCAAAAUAAUAUCCAAAACAUUUACUUUUUUGUAUCAGCAGCGGAUGAAGAAGAAGAAGAAGAAGAAGCAAUAUCCAUAACCUCUAGUUUUCAGAUCCAGGAAGUAGUUGUUGCAGAGAGAUUAAUUGUGAAUAUAUGUUAUAAUUGUGAUUAUCUUAAUCAUAGUUUAGCAAUUAAAUAAGAAGUUGUUUUAUAAUUAGUCAUGCCAGCUGGCUUUGAGAGUUUUGGGGAACCAUAUAUGUAGCCACUUGUGAAAGGAAAGGGCAGAACGAAUAUUCAAAAAGAAAUAUAUAUAAAAAAAAAAUACUCUUCUCUCUUUCUAGCUCUUCUCUGUAUUCCUCCAUCCUCCAUUGUUAUAUACUUGCAGGUCUGAGUUAAGGUUCUGAGUUGGGUUCAUAACAAUUGGUAUCAUCCUGCUCAAUCCUCGAUUCCCUAUUGUAUGCCCCGUCACGCUCCGACGACUCGUUUAACAACCAUGGAUGCACGUCUUACUGCCGUUGAAGCUACCUUGGCGGAUCUCCCCAACCUUCUUCGCAAUUCCAUCGCCGCUGCGAACGCCGACCUCUCGGCCGCGCUCUCUGCUGACUUCGAUGCUAAGUUAGCUUCCUCCUUCGAGCAACUCCGACGUGAGCAGUCCUUUGUCGGUGGUGCCGGAUCUUCCCAUCCAGCUCCAUUCGCCGUCGAUCCUGUUCCCCCGCCAGUUCCCGUCACGGAUGAUGCUGAUCUCCGUCUUUUGGAGACUCCUCGACACCCUCGUCGUGAGCAAUUUGAGCCCGGGGGAGGGCCGCCUAAACUUCAGUGGCAGCAACGGGUGGAUUUUCCCCGCUUUUCCGAUGGCGAUGAUCCUAUCACUUGGAUCUACAAGGCUGAGCAAUAUUUUGCUUGUUACAACACUCCAGAUCCACAGAAGGUCCUUACAGCCUCCUUCUACUUGGAAAAUGAGGCGAUGCAGUGGUUCAAAUGGCGCAAUUGCUUAUUCACUACUCCUACUUGGGAGGAAUUUACCAGUGCACUAUGUAGGGAGUUUGGACCCUCUGAGUUCGAGGAUUGUACUGAGUCAUUAUUUAAGUUGCGCCAAACAGGUACUCUGAAGGAAUAUGUGACUGAAUUUCGUAGGCUUGCUAAUCGUGCUUCCGGUGUUGGUCAUGCCCUCCUCAAGAGUUGUUUCCUUGGGGGUUUAAAAAGGGAAUUGGUUUAUGAUGUCAAAUUAUUGAGGCCUACGUCCGUUCAUGAUGCAAUCUUUAUUGCUGUUUAGGUUGAUGCUAAACUUUCUGCACUGCGUUUCCACAAUCCUAGAACUCUAUCUGCAACUAAGGUCACUCCACUUCCCAUCAUGCCACCCCGACCUAAAACUACCAAUUUACCAUAUCGUAAGCUCACUCCUGAGGAAGUACAACGAAAGAAAGACCAGGGGGAAUGUUGGUUUUGCCCUGAGAAAUGGGUCAUGGGACAUAAAUGCACGCAUAAACAAUUGCUUUUGUUAGAUGUGUGUGAUGAUGGAGAAUUGUGUGAGGAGAAUGACGAGGGUGUGCAAGCUAAGUUGCAAGGAAUGGCACUAAGUGAAUGUGCAUUUUAUGGCAUGAAUGCUAAGCGCUUCCUACAAACAAUGAAGGUUUUGGGUAGUGUUAAGGGCCAACCCGUGCGAAUCCUCCUCGACUCGGGUAGUACCCACAAUUUUAUUGAUUCUCGGUUCACUAAGAAAAUGGGGUGGUCUUUACAAACAACCAAACCAUUUGAAGUAAUGAUAGCAGAUGGCGGCAAAAUCAAAAGUCAGGGUUGUUGUAGACACAUUCCGUUGGAAUUGGGAGGAUACCACUGUCACACUGAUUUGUUUGCAUUGCCUUUGGGAGGGUGUGACUUGGUGUUGGGAGUGCAAUGGUUGUCUACUGUGAGUCCCGUACUCUGGGAUUUUCAAUUACUCACAAUGGAGUUUCAAGUAGGCCAAAACAAGUUCAAACUGUCCCAUAGUACACCACCACAGCUGGCUGUCCAGGAAAUGUCAUUGCAGCAGCUCAACAAGGAAAUUUAUGAUUCUAACUUGGGAGUUUUAUUGUAUUCAUUGGAGUAUACACCAAAUGAUACUAGCACCCUCAGUGCUCAACAAAGGGAAGAGUUACAGGUAGUCUUAAUGAGAUUUGAUGCAGUGUUUCAGAUUCCUUCACAGUUGCCUCCACAUAGAGCACAUGAUCACAAAAUCCCGCUUCUUCAAGGGUCUAAGCCUCCAAGCAUUAGGCCUUACCAUUAUGGCCCUGCUCAGAAAGAUGAAAUUGAGAAAACAGUGCAGGAACUUCUAAAAGCAGGGUUCAUUAGGCCUAGUCACAGUCCAUUCUCAUUCCCUGUGCUGUUGGUGAAGAAAAAGGAAGGGACAUUGAGGUUAUGCAUGGACUACAGGGAAUUAAACAGACUCACAAUCAAGGAUAACUAUCCUAUUCCACUGAUUGAUGAUCUUUGGAUGAAUUAUAUGGAGCUCACUAUUUCUCAAAACUUGAUCUGAGGUCCGACUAUCACCAAAUUCGAAUGCAUAAGGAUGACAUUGAAAAAACAACUUUUCGAACUCAUGAAGGCCAUUAUGAGUUCCUAGUUAUGCCAUUUGGCCUCACUAAUGCCCCUGCAACAUUUCAAAGCCUCAUGAAUGACAUUUUUAAACCUUACUUACGAAAGUUUAUCCUUGUGUUCUUUGAUGACAUAUUGAUAUACAGUAAGUCGUGGGAGGAACACCUGGUGCAUUUGGGAAAAACUCUAGAAUUAUUGCAACAACAUCAACUGUUUGUCAAGAAACAAAAAUGUUCUUUUGGGCAGCACCAAGUGGAAUACCUUGGCCAUAUAGUAUCCUGUGAGGGAGUCUCUGCGGAUCAUGCAAAAAUCCAAGCUAUAUUGGAGUGGCCUGCUCCUAAGAAUGUGAAGGAGUUAAGGGGAUUUUUGGGGUUAACAGGUUACUACAUAAAAUUUGUACUUGGAUAUGGCAAAAUCUACCAGCCCUUGUACAAACUCACUGGAAGUGAGGGGUUCAUAUGGUCAGAAGAAACUGAGGCAGCUUUUACCCCUCCCCUGCCACUCCCUUCGCCGGAAAAACAAGACUGGAGGGCUGAUUUUGCCCCUCCCCUGCCAGAAAACGUACUGGUUCUGCUGCUGCUGCUCUUCCUCUUUGGUGGUCUGUCCGCGCGUAGACCAACUUCUUUUUUUUAAAAGCAACCAGGCCAAAACGGGCCGUUUUGAUAAGUUGGAAGGAAAAACUUCAAUUUUUUUUUAAAAGCAACAUGCCCAAAACGGGCCGUUUUGAUAGUUGGAAGGAAGAAAUUAUGAAACGGGCCAUUUUGAUGAAGUUGGAAGGAAAAAAAAAUUAUAUGGGGGGACCGCGUGUCCCCCAUUCAUUCAAUAUCUCUUCCUGUCAUUUUGCCCUUUUCAAUUUUCAUCCUCCAAUCAGAGCAGCAAAAUGAAGCUGUUGCUCCCCAUUUUGAAGCAAAAAAUGGAACGGAACCAACCAAUCAGCAAACAUUGUUUGGCUACAGGUUAGCCACUCUCCAGCUCCAGCCGCCAGCUUCUAACCAUCAAAGUUUCAAACCCAUUUUGAUUUUGUGUUUCACCUUUUUUUAUGAGACUCAUAUUGAGAAUUACAAAUGAGUUAUCACAAACACUACAAAAGAAAGAUCAAAAUAUUGUGAAUGUGAUGACGUUAGUGGAAAUAUGCAAGCAAAGAGUACAAUCCUUGAGAGAUGAUGAUUUUGGGGACUUGCUUGAUGAUGUACAAAAGUUUUGUGAAGAGCAUGAUAUUGUCGUUCCUAACAUGAAGGAUUUGCAUUUCAUACCUGAAAAAUCAAGGCGUAAAGCUCCAAGACUCACAAACUUCCAUUACUAUAGUGUGGACCUCUAUUUUCAAGUCCUUGAUACGCAAUUAAAGGAAUUGAAUGAUCGCUUCGAUAAGGUAAACAUCGAGUUGCUUCUUUAUAUGGCAUGUUUGAGUCCGGUGAAUAAUUUUGCAUCUUUUGACAAAGCAAAAAUUGUGAAAACAACAUUACAUAACAAAAUGGGAGAUCAAUGAUUGAGUGAUAACAUGCUUGUUUACAUUGAGACAUAUGUAUUUGCUUUUAUUAAUAAUGAACCUAUUAUGCGACGUUUUCAUGAUAUGAAACAUCGUCGGCAACAAUUGUAAUUUAUUUGUAUUGAUAAAUUAUGGAAUACACUACUAUAAAUAAUUUGGUUGUUGCUAUUCUUUUGAACCUUGCACUCUUUUAACUUCGCCCCUCCCCCCCUCGUCAAUUCCUGGCUUCGCCACUGAUUGCAUAAACGGUUAUACUCAUACCUAUAACCGUUUAUAAACGGUUAACCAUACUCAUAAUCACGAUUACCCAAACUCAUGAUAUCUUGCUAAUCCCUAUGAAUCGGACUUCAUAGGAAAGUGCUUGAGCAAUUUCGUCUUUAUAUUUUUUAUGUUUUUUUUUUGGUCUAAUCUCUAGUGAUUUUUUUGGGUCGUCGUUUGUGAGUAUAUUUUAUUGAAAGAUGCCUUACAAAAAUUGACGUGGACAAAUUUUUCUUUUAAUUAAGCAUAUUUAAAAGAAAAUUUUAAAGUAGUAAGCAUUAUUAAUUAUCAAAUAUUUUUUAAGCAUGUGAAAGUGACUAAUCCUUGUCUCUCCAAAUUUUCAAUUUUUUUGUGCAUAUACCUCCCCCUAAUAAUAAGGACUAAACUCUGAUCUAGUCUCAGGUGCAACUGUAGUUAAGAUUCUUUUUCUGCUAUCUGAUCUAAAGACAUAGAGAUAUGGAGUUGAUUGGGUUCAUUCAAGUUUUCAACAUCAUCGUCAUCGUGAUAUUAAUUAGGGAUGGACAACGGUUAUGGCGAGCGGGUACCUCUAACUAUUUAUCCAUUACUGUUUAUAUUCAUACCUCCAUAACCGUUUACCCGUUGAGUAAUUGUAUAAACGGUUAUACCCAUACCCAUAACCGUUUAUAAACGAUGAACCAUACUCAUAAUCACGAUUACCCAAACUCAUGGUAUCUUGCCAAUCCCUAUGAAUCGGACUCUGUGGUACGUGUGCCGCAGAUCAUUAACAUUUUCUUCUUCGUCUUCUGCGGCUUACUCUGCUGGUUUCUAAUUGGUUGGUUUGGGUGGCAAGCUGGUAAAUUUUGAUCAGCUGAUAGAUACAAACCGCAUGACUGACUAUUUACAAGCACCUAAUGUGGAAAUCUCAUGCUAAACCUAUACUUUCCUAUAUACAUAUAUCUAUAAGAAACGCAAAAAAUCUUUUUAGUAAUCAUAGUAAAUACAUUUUGAAGUACGUGUCAUCACCGCUAUAUUGGUACGGAAGUUACUCUCAUAUGAAUAACAUGAUUAGUUGCCUUCACACAAGUUUUUCUUGCUUGCUUUCACGCUAAGCUUUGGGCUCUCUUAUGACCUUCCGAUAGCCCCGGAAAUAUAGAUUUCAAAUCUUAGGCAAUCUCCAAUAGUGAAGGACAUGAUUUUUUUAGUGUGAAACUGACUUGAUUUUAGUUUUUAGGAAUUAUAAAAAGGUACUUGAUUGAAAGUGCUUGGAAAUUCCUUGAAAGAAAUUGGUCACUAACUGAAAAUGUUAAAAAAUUUGUGCAUAAAACGUGUAAAUACGUCAAGAGAAAUAGCUUGCUUUAAAACAGUGUAUGUGAUCCGCUUUAAAACAGUUAAGACAAAACUCUUGUCAGGAACUAAACAUUGUUAAUCAUCCAUCACCGAGAAGAGGAAAAAUAAAAAACUUUUUUACUCCGGCUAACAUGGAAGGGAAACGUAGCAAGUGGUUCGUUACCGUAAUGGUGAAGAAGAUUAUUACUUUUGCAUCACGUUAUAGGUUCGAACCCUGUCAACAUCUUAUCUAACAUUUAAAAAAAGGUAAAUUGUAUUUUACCACCUCAAGUUUGGGUGCAAUUAAAACUUCAUACAACAUCUUUAAAAUAUUUCAAUCUCAUACAUUAGCUAUUAUUUUGUUUCAAUUUCAUACAUCUUUUAAAAAAUCUAUCAAUUUCUCUAUUAUUUGCUUACAUGGACGUCGUGGGUCCCACAAUAUAUAUGUGCCAUGUAGAUUAUAAAAUGAAAAACAAAAUUUAGAAAGAUUUGAAACUAAAAUUAAUAAAACCAAAAAAAAAAAAACAAAAAACAAAAGUUAACCUAAACUAAACUAAACUAAACAGAAAAGGUAAAAUAAAAAUAAUUAAAGAUGCUUUCCUUAAUACUAUAUUUGAAUGAAUAAAUUUAAGAUUACUAAGAAAUUUUAAAAUGAUGGAAAUUGAAAUGAAGGGAUUUUAUUUUCUAGAAUUUGUGAAUUUUCUGUUUGGUUAACCUAAAAGAACAAUGAAAUUGAGAAUGAAAUUUGUUAAUUUUAAACUCUCAAUCAUAAAAAUUGGAAAAUGACACAUAUUUACAUAGAAUUUAAACCUGAGAAUUGGGGGUCCCAAAUUCCAAUGUAGCUGUGAUGACACGUACUUUGAAAAUGUAUUUACUAUAAUUAUUAAAAAGAUUUUUUGUUUUCUUAUUAUAGAUAUAUGUAUAUAGGAAAGUAUAGGUUUAGCAUGAGAUUUCCACGUGAGAUGCUUGUAAAUAGUUAGUCAUGCGGUUUGUAUCUAUCAGCUGAUCAAAAUGUACCAGCUUGCCACCCAAACCAACCAAUUAGAAACCAGCAGUAUCAGCCGCAGAAGACGAAGAAGAAAAUGUUAAUGAUCCCAGCACAUGUACACCAGAGUCCCGAUGGCGAUGACGUCGAUGUUGAAAACUUAAAUGAACCUAAUCAACUCCAUCGCUCUCUCUUAGACUAGAUUUUAACAAGAGGUGUGAUAUUCACACACCUCUUUUUACUUCUUACAUACAUUUUUAAUUUUCGGUCAUCGGAUUGGAUGAAUUGAAGAAAAUCAACGGACAUAAAUUAACAAAGGGUGUGAGAAGUAAAAAGAGGUGUGUGGAUAGCACACCCCUUUAACUACAGUUGCACCUGAGACUAGAUUUGAGUCCUUAUUAUACCUACUCCAACUUUUGAAGUAAAACUUAAUUUUAGGUUGUAAACUUAAUCCAACUUGCUUCAACCUUUUGGGCAAAUAUGAGUUAAAACUCAAUACUUGCUAACCUUUUGGACAAAUAUUUUUUUUUUAGUUUAUUUUAUAAAUUCAUUGAAUCUAACGGUAAAGAUCUAGUUUGAUGAAAUCCAACGGCAAAAAAAAAUCUAACGGUCCAAAUUUAAAUCCAACGGCUAAAGUAAAUUAAAAAGAAAUUCUUUUAUGUGUUUCAUAUUUUUUUCAUAGUGUUUCACGAGUUUCAUAGUGUUGGAAGUGAUUUUUUCAAUAUUUGUCGGAAUCUAAAUAUUUUUAGGUUAAAAUGUUCAUAAAGUUAAAUUAGGAUAGUCUACAUAAUUUUUUCUUUUAAAAAAAUUACUUUAAGAAAAAAAUUAGCCUAAAUUCAUUCUUUACUAAUAUAGGGCUAAAAUUUUAAUCCAUAAGGGUUGGAGUAAAAAAGUUGUUUCUAUGUUAAAACUUAAAUUUUUUGAGCUAAAAAUUUUAGUUUUUAACCCAAAGAUUGAAGAUGGUCCUAGGGAUGUGUAUACGCACAAAAAGUUUCAAACGUUCAGGGAGGACAAAAAUUGAAAAUUUGGAGAGACAAGGAUUAGUCACUUUCACAUACUUAAAAAAUAUUUGAUAGUUAAUAAUGCUACUUACUUUAAAAUUUUCUUUAAAAUAUGCUUUAAUUAAAGAAAAAUUGAACCAAAUACAUUGGGUAAGAGUUUUUCAUUAAAAUUCUCAUAUAUUGGAAAAUUAAUGAAAAGAGUUUGAAAACUUUAAAUUUUAACGAUAAGGACAAAAUAAAGAGUAAAGUGAAUAAUAUCAGGAUUAACUUUUUAGUGUAAAAAUGUGGUUUUUCGUUAAAGUGAACAGUACUGUGAACUUUUCAUUAAAGUUCUCUAAAAUACAAAUACGCACAAACGACGAUCGAGAAAAAAAUCACUAGAGAUUAGACAAAAAAAAAAACAUAAAAAAUAUAAAGACAAAUUGCUCAAGCACUUUCCUUGCAGAAACCAUGUGCGUUCAAACGGAAGAAAAGGUUAUUAUCUCUCUAGUUGAGGACUUAAAGAAAGAAAGGUGAAACUAAGAAGCUCCUCCUGAUGCAAGGAAGUUUCCCAGUGCAAGUGGAGGACAGAGUCAGCCGGCUCCUUCCACUCUAUACAAGUUACAACCAUGGAAGAAAAUGCCGAUAAUAUCGGCGAAAUAUCGCCGAUAUUAUCGGUUUUUCGGGGGAUGGAUAUUCUAAGUGGUAUCCGAAUGGUUUUCGGCCAAAUAUCGCGAUAUUAUCGAAAUAUCGGCGAAUUUUUUUGAGUUUGGUGCAAUCGGACUCCGAGGCGACGUCGGAGAAGAACGCCGGAGACGGUGUGCCUAUUCCCGGGCCGAUUUCGUCCCAAAAACCUUGCAAAAACACGAAUUUUAACAUCAAUUUCACAUAUAAACUUCAGAUUUCACGCAUGCAUAAACGAUUCAACAUAUGUGAAGUCGGUUUAGGGUUUCAAUGGAAUCUCACCUGACGAAGACGAAGACGAACCAGAUGAUUGAACGUGAUCCUUGCUCAGCGGCGCACCGCCAGAAACGACUGAGCCAACUCCGACUUCGCCAGAGCCACGAUCAACGGCGAAGGGAGAAGAGAGAUCGAGAGAUAUGUGUGUGUGUGUGUGUGUGUUUGGGAGAAGAGAGAUCGGAUAUCUCUCUUUGUAUGUGGGUGUUUGGGAGAAGAGAGAUCGGAGAAGGGAGAAGAGAGAUCGGAGAAUGGAGAAGAUAGAUCUCCGAUCUCUUUGUGUGUGUGUGUGUGUUUGGGAGAAGAGAGAUCUCCGAUCUCUGUAGACGGAGGGUGUGUGCGUGUGUGUGUGUGGAAUGAGGGAGAAGUGUGUGUAUGUUAUCCGAGAGAAAGAAAAAAAAUACAUUGAGGGUGUGUGUGUGUGUGUGUGUUUGUGGCACACGGUUUGACACAUGGUUUUGUGUGUGUGUGUGUGUAUGGUUAUGUGUGUGUGUGUUAUCCGAGAGAGUUUUGGCACAUGGUUUUGUAUAAAACCAUGGUUUUGUGUGUGUGUGUGUGUGUGUGUGUAUGGUUAUGUGUGUGUGUGUGGGUUAUCUGAGAGAAAAAGAAAAAAACUUUGAGGAUGUGUGUGUGUGGCACACGGUUUUGUAUGAAAGAAUUAGAAGUGACUUUGCUCAGAAGAACCAAAUAUUCUGUCAGAGAAGAACCAAAAAAUCUGCUUACUUUAUCUUCUUCUCCACGUGAAGACCAAAUUCUGUCAGAGAAGAACCAAAAAUACAAUGUAUAAAGUGUAAAAUAUUGUACUAAUUCAUUAUAUAUAAAUGAUUAUGGUGUGUUUAAACUUCUUUCAUUAAUUACUACAUAUUUUCUACACUCACAAUGUUUGUCAGCUCGCUAUAUAAUCAACUUGAUAAUGUUAAAUCCAUAAUGCAAUGCAUUUCCUUCCAAUUUUUUGUGAUAAACUAAUAGAUAAUUGACUAAAUAAACAUCCUGCAAAGUUUCAAUAAAAAUUUCCAAGUUUUUCUUACAAUUUCUGUGGUUUCCAUGUAAUUUUUAUCGAUAUCGAUAUUAUCCCGAUAUUUCCAUCGAUAUUUCCGUGUUUUCGGACUACCGAUAUUUUCGAUAUUACCGAUAUUUUCUUCCUUGGUUACAACAAUGAAAAGUAUACAUGAAUUUUUAAAGCGGAUCACAUACACUGUUUUAAAGCAAGCUAUUUCUCUUGACGUAUUCACACAUUUUAUGUACAAAUUUUUUAACAUUUCCAGUUGGUGACCAAUUUCUUUCAAGAAAUUUCCAAGCACUUUCAAUCAAGUACCUUUUUAUAAUUCCUAAAAACUAAAAUCAAGUCAGUUUGGAACUAAAAAAAAUCAUGUCUUUCACUAUUGGAGAUUGCCUAAGAUUUGAAAUCUAUCUUUCUGUGACUAUCGGAAGGUCAUAAGAGAGCCCAAAGCUUAGUGUGAAAGCAAGCAAGAAAAACUUGUGUGGAGGUAACUAAUCAUGUUAUUCAUAUGAGAGUAACUUCCGUAUCAAUAUAGCGGUGAUGACACGUACUUCAAAAUGUAUUUACUAUGAUUACUAAAAAGAUUUUUUGCGUUUCUUAUAGAUAUAUGUAUAUAGGAAAGUAUAGGUUUAGCAUGAGAUUUCCACGUGAGGUGCUUGUAAAUAGUCAGUCAUGCGGUUUGUAUCCAUCAGCUGAUCAAAAUUUACCAGCUUGCCACCCAAACUAACCAAUUAGAAACCAGCAGAAUAAGCCGCAGAAGACGAAGAAGAAAAUGUUAAUGAUCUGCGGCACACGUACCACAGAGUCCGAUUCAUAGGGAUUGGCAAGAUACCAUGAGUUUGGGUAAUCGUGAUUAUGGGUAUGGUUAACCAUUUAUAAACGGUUAUAGGUAUGGGUAUAACUGUUUAUGCAAUUACCCAAUAGGUAAACGGUUGUGGAGGUAUGAAUAUAAACAGUAAUGGGUAAAUAGUCACAAGUAUCCGCCUGCCAUAACCGUUGUCCAUCCUAGUUACGAUCACGAUAACGAUGAUGCUGAAAACCUGAAUGAACCCAAUCAACUCCAUAUCCCUAUGUCUUUAGAUCAUAUAUCAGAAAAAGAAUCUUAAUUACGGUUGCACCUGAGACUAGAUCAGAGUUUAGUCCUUAUUAUUAGGGGGAGGUAUAUGCACAAAGUUUCAAACGUCCAGGGAGGACAAAAAUUGAAAAUUUGGAGAGAGAAGGAUUAGUCACUUUCACAUGCUUAAAAAAUAUUUGAUAAUUAAUAAUGCUUGCUACUGAUAGCGAUUUUACCACUUGUAAAACAAAGGAUUAAACCAUAGAAAAUUCUUGCAAGAGAACAAGUGUUUGUAGUAUAGAAUGACUCAAGCAAGGUCGAUCUCCUCAGGGACUGAUAUAAACAAUUUACGAGUUUUUGUGUAUUUAACUUAUUUAAUUCUAAGAAUUACAGUAAUUUGACGAAACUAAAUAUUACUGGAUGUGACUUAAACAAAUAUCCAAAAUGGGAAUUGAUUUAUAAGAAUAAUGAUUCAACUUAAACAAAACAAGUAAAUAAGGAAAUUCAAGAUAAAAUAAAUGACUGAAGAAAAAUAAAUUGACAAUAUGCUAGAGUUCAACCUUUACCAACAACAUUCCUACGUAGCUAUUCCAAUUGCUUAAAUAAUUGAAAACACACAUGCUUUGAAGGUUGGAUUUUCCUUGUGUAUAUUUUACUUGUGACAUUCAAGCUAAAACGCAUACCACUACAUGCAACUUAUCCAUGACAUUUGGAUUAAAUAUAAACAUGAGUGAUUCAUUAAUCUUGGUGAAAAUCCUUUUGUUAAACCAUAUAAUCCCUAAGAGCAUGAUAUUUACCUUAGGAGAGUAUAAUUCUCAAUCACAAGAAGCACAACCAAUUUUAACGUGACAUUCGUUCAAAAUUGCAUCCGAUAACUUUUCUAAGCAUCCUAAUGGUGUUCAAGCAUCAAGGUACCUAGAUAGUUUAAUUCAGUGAUUGAAAAUAUCAAAGCAAACAUGUAACAACACUUAAGCAAUUGAAAAAUAAAACUACGUAUUCAUGUUGCGGCUCAUGGCCUCGCUUUAGCAUAAUAAAUUAGUUACACAUAAUUAUGUUCAUACAUAAGAAAUUAUCCAUAAAAAUAAAAUAACAAGAAAGAAAAACACCCGUUUUUUAUUCUUGGUUCCUUCUGCUUCUGUGCUUCUGCUGCCGUCAGUCUCUGCCUAGCUCCUGACUUCCCUCUUUUUCUUUGCAGUGUCUGCCUCUCUCUCUCCCCCUACGCCCGUGUGCUCUGCUCUUUAUUUUUCGGUUUUUCUUUUCUUUUCCGUUUCUGUGCGCUGCCCUCCUUUCUCUCUGCUUCUUAUUCUCCCCCUUUUUCGCACUGCACUCCUGACUUCCUUUUAUUUGCAGUUCUAUUCCUCUCCGCGCUGUCCGUCCACUUCUCUUUCUUUUAUUUUAUUUUUUUUCUCUGUUCCUCCCAUCUUCUGCCCGUGCCUUUGUGCUUCUAUCUUUCUUAUUUUAUUUAUUUUCCAUGCUUUGCCUUCCCUUUUCUCUGCACACUCUUUUCUUUUGUUUUUCUUUCUACUCCACCAUUCCGUGUCUUCAUUCCCUCUCCACUAGGGGUGGGUUCAAAUAACCGAAAACCGAAAAAAAUCGAAAACCAAACCGAACCGAGGCCGAAAAAAACUGAACCGGACCGAACCGAACCGAAAAAAAAAUAUAUAUAUAUAAAUACAAAAAAAUAUGUUAGCUUCAAGGUUCGAACCCCUGACCUGUAGGUUAGGUUUAGAUGCUGUCAGCCAACUUGACUGUAGACUUUCUAUUGUUAUAGUUGUACCAGUAUAUUAUUUAUAGGUUUCUUAUAUUGAAUGCUUUGUAAAAAACUUAAAACCCUAGCCGUCUCUGUCCCAUUCCCAUUUCAUUUUCAGAUUUCAAAGUCUCUCUCUCCCGGCCGCGACUUCCUUUCUGCUUCCUCAGUCUCUCUCUCUCUCCCUCUCCUUCUUCUCUUCCUCCAAAUCACUCUCUCUAGUCUUCUCUUGUCUUCCUCGUGGUUUUUUUUUUCUCCAAACAAUGAUUUUCCCUCGCCCCUUUCGAGACCCGACGAAAAGAGGAAUUGUAAGAGCUUGCGACGAUCACUGCGAUAUCGCUGCAGCAAAGGUUGUGGGUUUUAUCUAUUUUUCAGUUUAUGGGUUUUUAAUUUUAUGGUUACCCAUUUGAAAUUUAUGUAAUUUAAGGUGGAAAAGUUUGUAUUUUUCUCUGAAUAUGUUUUGGAAUUUCUAGAUCUAUUGUGGACUUGACUAUGAAUUUGAAUAUGGGCACUGGGCAUGUGAUAUUGGAGUCCGAUUAUGGCAUUUAGACGAACCCAUUUGCUUUUUUUUUUUUGAUCUGCAUCAGUUAAUUUGUUGAAUUAUUUCAUGAUUUUUCGGUUUUUUUUGGUUUUCGGUUUCGGUUUUGGAUUUGUGUAUUUGGAUAUUUGUUUCGAUUGUUAUUUGGAUUACUGAUGGAUUCGAAUACUGAUGGAUAGUUACACCCACUGUACUCUCCCUCCCUCUCUCUCUCUCUCUCUAACCCCCAACAAAGAAAAAAAGAAAUCCAAAUACUGAUGGAUUUGUGCAUUUGGUUUUUGGAUUCGAUCUCUGCAUGCCUGUUUAGAUCUGAUGGAUUUCGUUAUUAGGUUAUUCAUAUUUCCAUUUUUAUUAUAGUUUUUUCAGUUUGGUGCCUAAGAAAAUUGACGAGAACUAGAUUUUCAGUUGUUGUGCUUUUACGCCAAUGGAAUUGAGCGGUUCUAGUAGUUUUAGGUCUAAAUGUUAAUCAAUUUUACUUGUUUGUUCUUCAGUUUUUUAUUUUGUUUAGAAAUGAUAUUGCUAUGUGAAUUAUGCAAGUAAUUCAUAAAUCAAUGACGAAAAAGGUUAUUUUUCUCUUUGAAUUGUGAUUGUUAAUUCAUCAUUUGAAGGAAAAUUAUGUUUGUUUGUGCUCAGGGGUUGUUAAAAGCAGGAAAUCAUGAUUGGAUAUUGCGAUUCAUGGUCUUCACCUCUGGUGUUUGUUGGAUUGCUGGUACAUGGUCGCCGAAGCUUGCUUCGACGGCGGCAAGGGAACUUAGCAGCUAGGGUUUUCCGUUUUUUCUUUCUUUUUCGGGCUCAACCCUUCGGUUGGGUUGUUGUUCUGGCCCAUUUUUUUGUUUGUGUUUAGUUGUGGGCUUUUAUAUGUAUGUAAGUUUAAUGGAAGUUUACAUUUUAUUAAAAAAAAAAAACCGAACCGGACUAAAACCGAACCGAAAAAAACCGAAAAAAAAUUGAACCGAACCGAACCGAAAUUUCGGUUCAGUUUCGGUUUUGGCAAAAAACCGAACCGUUUCAAACCGAACCCAGCCCUACUCUCCACUUUCCAUGCUUUUCUUUCUUUUCUUUUUUUUAUUCCUUCUUUAUUUCUUUGUCUGCCAUGCCCUCUCAUUCUUUUAUUCUUCUCUAUCAGUCCAUUAUUUCUGUGAAAACAAUGCUAACACAAAAUUAAUUGUACAUUAACACAAGGUAAGAUAAAAUGCCACAAUUUUAACACAAAAACAUCACAAAGACUUUAUAAAUGGAUGGUAUAAAUGUAUGAAAUAUAUGAGUGAUCAAAUACCCCCAAACUUGCAUUUUUGCUAGUCCUCUAGCAAAACAAAACCACUCAACUAAGACUAGAUUCAACAACUUAGUAGCCAACUUUUCAAUUUCGAUUUCAGAGAUAAGUGCUAAUCAUGAAAUACACUGCCAAGAGGUAAGCAAGAGCUCAAAACAUCAUCCAAUAGUUAACCAAAUUUCCUUCAAACAAAACGUUGAAAAGCCAUGUGUGAGGUAGUCAUGUCAAUGCAAUUCCAAACUCCUUUAAAUCAUCAUAUGCAAACAUGUGAGCUUCUCACAAGACAUACGCUCAUUCACUCAUAAGUUUUGGUUAAUUUGUUUCACUCAAGUGAUCUUAUUGUACAUGCCGCCAUAUGCUUGCUUGUCUACCUAACUCGCUUAUCAAUAUUUAAGUAAUACCUUGGAUCAAUAGGACUUUAUUACGGUUAUAAUGGGGUUAAAGGUGAUAGGCUAAUGAAAGAAAGGAUAUGGAAAUAAAAAUUUUUGAGAAAGUACACUUUAGUAGUUUUCCAACACCUCAAUAUCAUACUACCUCAAAUUGAAAGCAAAAUAAUAAAACCUCAAACACCUGUUACUCCCCAAAUUUAACUUCAAAAGGAAAUUUACUCUAUCGAUACAUUUUCAACUAAUCAACACUCUCCAAUUUUCUUAUAUUUCGUUUUUUUUUUUUAAAUUUUUUUUUUUUAUCAUUGAAAGAAACAAAUCUGCAAAAGCUACAUCACCCAUCAAAUUCACAUUUCAUUGUAAUACACAUACUCCAUCCAUCUUUCUACAUAAAUGAAACCCCCAAAAGCACAACCCAUGUAAUACUUUCUCAAAACAAUAAGGAAUCGAUUUUUGUGUAUGGGCUCAACUCCAAUAUUGGAGCAAGGUAAAGAGAUGUGGCUAACAAAGAAAUGGCUUAGUUAAAGGCUCAAUGGGCUACUACGGGUAAACAUAGCAUAUAAGGUAGGCAUGAAAGGCUCAAACGAUCCAAAGAUGGCCUAUAUCACUUCCAAGUUAUUACAUGAAUUGAUUAAUGAAUCGAGUAGUAUAAAGCAAGUUCUAGAGAUACAUGUACAGUGAGAUCAUACGCACAAGAAGGAAUGAGAUUGAUGCAUAAUGGUUCAAUCAUGUAUAGGCUAAAAAACUCACAAGGUUUACAUAAUCUCCCAUGAUUCACAUAUGAAACGCUAAAUCAUGCUCAAGUUUCACAUUGACAAGACUAGGCACAUUUAUUUUUCAAGUUGAUUUCUGGAAAUCACAGUUAACACAAAGACAACGAAAAGAGCUUAGACUUUCUUGAAAGUAAGAAGGAAAUUAAGAUCAAAUCUCAUCAUUGAAUUGAGAAGUAGCUACAAACAACAAUAAAAAUGCAAAAACUUUUUUUUUUAUUUAAUUUUUUUUAUAGAAAAAUAAACUAACGAAGUAUAUUUCCACCCCCAAACUUAAUUAUAGCAUUGUCCCCAAUGAUAAUGAAAGAAAUUUUUGAACAAUAAGACAUAAAAAUGGAAGGAAAGAAAUAUGAAAUGAAGCAAAGACACAUAAAUAAAAGGAAAGAACACACCGAUUUGUGUAGGCGAGGAGAGCAGCAAUGUGAGUCUGUUUCUUCUCUGCUUGUUUCUUCUGCAUCGCGGGCUGGCACAAGGUAGCUGUGUUGGUCUGAUUCUUUCUUCAAUCUUGCCAAGUGCCCAUCUCUUGCUUUCUUUCUCCUUGUCCCUAGCUAAGGAUGAAUUGGCAAAUUGUCUCCACAUGCUUCGAGGUAUCAUUUUCACUUCCCUUACUUGUUCCCUAAGUAGAUGUGGUAGACAAAACGGAAACAUAAGAUGAUGAAGAUGAGUACUCGAGAGCAAGGCUAGGUAAGCAAUCAGGAAGGGGUUCCAGGCAGUUGGCUCCAGAUCGGAAGAUUUAUACCAAGUGCUGGCUGAUUGCUCGCUUUCUCCUUGUCGUAAAACAAAGACAAGGAGAAGGACAGGGAGAAAGCAUGAUAUGAGAUACUCUUGCUUUCAACCUUUAUGAUAUGAAAUACUUUUUCUUUGGAUGGGUUGUUUACAGAGGUACCCCAAGGAAUAAGGAACACUGAGUGACUCGAGAGGGUUUGUUGGAAAGGCAUUCUCUGAGAUGAUGGAAGGUUAUGCAUGUCUGCCUUGCCAUGGAGGGUGAAGGUCGACAUUUAUAAGAAAUAAUGACCGGUACUGUUCUUUUACUCUUAUCGGCAACCAUUAGAUGAUUGAACAGUACACUUCACGUGCUUUCUACUUUACCAGAAAUCGUCGACAGAUUGCCCGUGAUUUCCGUAAAGCAGACUCUGCAUGUGACAGAUGUUGACACGUCUGGAAAAGCAGAUGCCUCUCCGAUAUCUGGAAUUGCCUCUUCGAAAUCUGAGCUCCGUCGAGUGCAGAGUUUGCAUGUGACGAGUGCGGACAAAUCUGGAACAAAUGAUGGCCCGUGAUUUCUGAGCAAGCUCAGCUUUUGAGAAAGCUAGCGCCACUUUGAUUUUUUUAGUUGGCCUCUUCGAUUUCUGGAAUUGCCUCUUCGAUCCCUGAAAUCCCAUUGCGUACUGAUUUUUAUAGAGGUAUGCAGGACGUUCAAAGCACACUUGAAUUUCUGCCUUUAAAAACUCCCUCUUUGCAUUUCUACGAUCUUGACUUGUCCGACCUCUUCUUUCUUUAACACCUCUGAAAAAUGUCUGGCCCUUCCGACCGUCGCUUUGAUUUAAACCUUGGUGAAGAGGCAGCUCCGCCUUCUCCAGACAACAUAUGGCGCCCAUCCUUCAUAUUCCCUACUGGUCCCCUUACCGUUGGGGAUUCAGUGAUGAAGAAUGAUAUGACAGCUGCGGUGGUGGCCCGGAACCUUGUCACUCCUAAAGAUAACAGACUGCUUGCAAAACGGUCUGAUGAAUUGGCUGUUAAGGAGUCUCUGGCUCUUAGUGUGCAGUGUGCAGGUUCCGUGUCCAACAUGGCCCAACGCCUAUUUGCUCGAACCCGUCAAGUUGAAUCGUUGGCGGCUGAAGUGAUGAGUCUCAAGCAGGAGAUUAGAGGGCUCAAGCAUGAGAACAAACAGUUGCACAAGCUUGCACACAACUAUGCCACAAACAUGAAGAGGAAAAUUGAUCAGAUGCAGGAAUCUGAUGGUCAGAUUUUACUUGAUCAUCAGCGGUUUAUGGGUUUGUUCCAACAGCAUUUGCCUUCAUCUUCUGGGGCUGUACCGCGUAGUGAAGCUCCAAAUGAUCAACCUCUGAUGCCUCCUCCUUCUGUGGCCCCACCGACUGCUGAGGCUCCGCCGACUACUGAAGCUCCUCCUAAGCAGCCUAUGUGAAGGCUCCCUCUUUUAUUUAUCUGCUCAAUGUUCCUUUCUCUUUUAUUUAUCUUCCGUUGGCAUCAACAGCACUGCGGCGAGAACGAUUGAUUUCCUAUCCAAGUCUCGGUCGAGAAGGGUUUAUAAAUCCUUAUUGGUCGAGGUCAUCUCAUCAGCCUCCUCGGCGAAGUGAGGUGUUACAGUUAUCACAUUCGGCACAUUGAAAGCCGAAUUUGAUAUUGAACUUCGUAAGAAUAGUAACCUUGUCUUCAGGUUCGAGAGCCCAAGAGGCCGAGACGCGUUCCUUUCUCGGCCGCAAUCGCAAGACGCAGAAGUCAGUAGCGCGACCCAACGCAACAUCAACAAAUUUACUCCUCGGCCGAGCUCGGUCGACGAGUUGGCACGCCCCGUAUUCACCGAAGGACGUAGUUAGCUCAUUAAUUACUCGGCCUGCGCGCCACGUAGGCUUUGUAGUUUCUAGGGUCUAAGGCAGCCACGUGGAUCUCGGAAUCUUAUGUGCCCGGGCUAGGUUGAGAGCCCUGAGAAAUUAUUAUCAAAAUCUGAAAGUGGGCGUUGGGGAAUAAUUUUUGGUGUUGAUUGUUCUGGUUUGGGUGUUUGAUGGCAGGAGGGUUUUUCCCGACGGUGGUGAAGACGGAGGGGGAGGAGGGAGAGGCCAGGGGACAUAAAUGGCGGUGAAAGCGGGUGUUGGGGAAGCCCCAUAUGCAUGGACGGAGCCGCUUUGGGCUCAAAGGGGGCGGAUGCCCCCACUCAGUUUUUUUUUAAAUGUACUCUUUCAGUUGUUUGUGGCAUUGGUAUUAACUCGUUCAUCUGCUACUUCCAUCGUUGAAAGGACAUUUUCGGCCAUGAAAUUUAUGAAGAUCGAUUGUGAAAUUAUAUGGAAGAUCAACGAAUGAAUGAUAACAUUGUUAUUUUUAUAGAGAGAUAUUUGAUGGUAUUGGUAAUGAGAUUGUCAUAUAAUGCUUACAAAACAUAAAAACGCAUUGAUGGAUAUCGUAAAAUAUUGUAUGAAAAACCUUAUGAAUUAAUAUAUGAGUGUUUUGUUUGAUACAUUCUUGAACUUUUUAAUUUGUGACUUUAUUAUUUAAGGAUGCUCACAUCCAUGCAGAUUUCUGGCUCUGUCGCUGGCUAUAUGCAGUCCAUGCCUCCCAUUAACUGCUACACCAGUUGAGCCAACUGUUCAGUCCAAUCACAACCAACAAAUGGAUAAAUGUCGGACAAAAUAUUAACAAUUCAUAUUAAUAUAAAAUAAUUACUCUAAUUUCCUUUUCUUUUCAUAUUAACCAAAUCAAGAGUUAUUUUAAUAGUAACUUAUUAAAUAUAGUCCAUUUAUGUGUACAAUGAUGUUUCAGAAACACGGUCCAUUAUAUCGUGCCAUAAUACAAAUGAUUCGAUAUUUGAAAAAAAAAAUUCAAUCACUUAUAUUAUGAUAUUUGGUAUAUCAGCCGUACUUCCAACGCACUGAAAAAUUUCUCAUAUUUGUGAAACUGAGUGGCAAUAUGUCAUUGAUAAAAUAAAUAGAGAUUCUGUUCUUUGAAUGGAGAAUACACAUUUUGCACAGGAAAUUUUUGUUACCAAAUGUAAUUGGAAGGACGUUGAAAUUUGAGCGAUACAUACCACAGGAAUAAUGCUCAACUUUAAUAUCUAUGUUGUCACAUCAAAUUCCCAAUUAGAAUCCAAGUUAUGUCCAUAUACAUAACUUACAAUUUACGCACAUAUGAGGAACUGGUCUUAGCACUUGCAAAUAAGAAGGUGCAACUAUUCAUACUAAAAAUAGUUAGGAGCACAUAAAUUGACAUGUACUUGAUAAAAUUUGAGAAAUUCGUCUCGGUGAUUGAGACAUUUGCUACAAUUGGGAACAAAAGAAGCUCCCACAAUGGAGCUACACACUUCAAUGCAAAAUGGCAAACGACAUAUGCCAAACCAACAUAUGCAGUAACAAAAAAAUAGAAACUAGACAAGGUUGUAGCUCGAAUUAAGAAUGCAUUACAUUAAGUGUCCAUGUUUUCUUAUUACAUCAAUUAUUAAGGUUAGCUUUGUGGUUUUGGCCAAUUCUAUGGUUUUGAUCCGAAACUUAGUACAACUUCAAACAUCCCUAAUGUUUUAAUUAAUAGAUCUUUCCAUGUACAUCAUGUAAUACAACAAGUUUCAAGGACUAAUCAAAUAGCAAAAAUGAGGUAAUCACAAAAGAGAUCAAUCAAAAUGCCUUAAUUGUACCAACUAAUGAAGUUAUUUAAAGGGUUUAUAAUCACAUUUUAGAACACUAAUCAUUAAUCGUCUCGUUAAAGAAGAAGAGGACGUGAACUUGACGAAACGCGAACACGACACAGUCGUGGACAUGAGCUACUUGUUGGCCAUGAUAAGAGUAGUUAAUCUAUAUGAGUGUGUAUAGUUUAUCAAUUAAGUUUCCUCUUGAGACGGAUUUAUAGAACGAUGCUUAAAUGUGCAGCUGCAGCUUAUAGUCUGACAAUAUCACAUGUCGAAUAUCCGACAAACAAAUCGCUCUGAUUUCUACAUUGUAGCUUCCUUUUCAAUCUCGCAUUAAUUAGUACCUUUCUGUAUGUGUUAACAUUUUUGUUUCCCCACUUUGUACAAGUUGACAAAUCGAAAACAUAAACUUGCUAACCAACUCUAAUUUCUAAGUUGUAUUUGUUGUGGUAGUACCUAAUGGGCAGGGCUCAUGAGGACCAGUGGCAAUUUUGAAAUAUCACAACAAAUACAGAACCAUUUUUGUCACAAAAUAUCAAAACGAAAAAUCGAUUAACGACGAUCGUUUUUCUACCUCAAACUAUUGGCAUCUCUCAGUGUCUCCGUCGUCUUCUGAUUUUCCUCCGAAUCGGAGAAGAAGGGUAACCAAAUCCUGAUCCUCCGAAUUCGUGGUUUUCUGAUUCUUCCGGCGCUCCUCAUGCUUACGGCAGCCUGAGAGCGAGGCGCUCUCGAUUGAUUCCAUGGUCUGAUCUUCCGCGAAUCGCAAUCCGACGGUGGCGAUGGCGUCGACGCAGAACCAAUUGGCGCAUGUGGAUCUCUUCGAUGCGUAUUUGCGACGGGCCGAUUUGGACCGCGAUGGCCGGAUUAGUGGCAAUGAAGCCGUCGCUUUCUUCCAGGGCUCUGGUCACCCAAACAGGUCCUUGCGCAGGUACUCUCUCUCUAUACAUAUGUAUAUGCUUGUGUAUAUAUGUAUAAUUGGAUGUGUGUGUAUGAUUAUAUUUGUGUUCCGAAUCAGAUUGAUUUUGAAUUUUUAGACUAAUUGGAGUUGAAGUGGUAAAUGUGAGCUCGGGAUGUCUUAAUUCUCUUAUCUAAGCUGAGAUUUUUAUUUCGUGCUAGUAUAAAUGCGGAAUUGAUGUUCAAAUGGUAGAAAAUAAGUAGAUGAAUAAUUUGUAUUACUGUUAGUGAGGUUGAGAGAGUUAUGUUAUCAGGUCAUUAAUUUACCUUCUGGUGUAUCCGUUCGACCUGAGGUGGUAAGCAGACUUUAGAAAUGUGUUAUAUGACCCAAGGAUUGAUCAAGGAUUGUUUAUUACAUUAUAAUUGUGUCGUAGUGAAAGCCUGCAGCAUAAGAUGACUAUGGAAUAGUUAGGAUUAUCGCAUAAAGGGGAAAUGUUCUUGGGUCAUGAUCAUUUCGACAAAUAGGUUAUUGAAGCUGUAUACUUGUUUGUUGAAGGAAUUUCUGUAUAAAAUGAUAACCAGGGGCAUAUUAUGUUAAAUAUUGAUUAUAUGAAUGCACUUUCUCAUUAGCUUGAAUUGCUGAACAUAACAGGCUCAAUCAAGCAUAUUUUUCUGCGAGAUGCUUUGCUCCUCGAUGUUCAUUCUUUGCAUGAUGUGUUCGUAUUUUGAUAUAAAAACUUACACAUGCAAUAGAUAUUUUGUAGAUAUAAAAUUUUAUUUGUAAUUGGGAGUAAUCUUUUGCUGGCCAAUUGACAUACAAACAUCCAUAAAUAUAUACUAUUAAAUUGAGUCUAGAUUGAUAGAUUGACUACCCAUCAUGCCACAUUAUCUUUGAUGGAGCAGUUUAGGGAGGGACGCCCUCUUCCAGCAGUGCUACCAAGCAAUGUUAUGUUUGAUUUAUCCAAUAUUUUUCAACCUGCAAAUAAUUACUCCAAUGUUGGCAAUGUAGCCUGGAGACCUGCUUCUGGUAUUCAUCCAUAAACAAAUCACUUUUAUUUUUUGAAACUUGUAAAUCAAGUUUUAAUUAAUGUCUAAGUUUAUGAUAUAAAGAAUGUUGUUUGCUAGUUCAAAUCUAUCUAAUUUCAGUUGUUAUUUGUACUCAAUAUUUAACGUUGUUAUAUGGGCUUGUAUUCAAUGUUUUAAUAUUAUUCUUUGUGAAAUUCUUUCAGGAGAAUGAGGAACAGGAUGACCCAGACGUGAGGUGGGAUCCAGAUUCUGAUAUGGAGGUUGAUGAUGAACGGUACUUCAAUUUAUUCUCCUAAUUUGGUCUCAUUAUCUAGCACUUUCAUCUUUGCAAUUUACUGAUUUAUGGUUUACAGUAAGCCUUUACCAAGCAGAGUAAAGAAAGAGAUCAUUGAACCUGAAGUUAGAGAUCCGGUACGUCACAAAUCAUCUCUCGAGCUCAACUUUUUUUUGGGUGUGGAAUCAUUUAGACUAUAAUUCACUGUAUUUGGCUGCCAAUUCAUUUGUCUAUUCUUAAACACUACAACAACAACGAAGCCUUUUCCCACUAAGUGGGUGUGGAAUCAGGUUCCUAUUUCAUAAGAAAACCCUCCCACUAAUAGUUUUCUCUCUGACAUUGAUAUUUGCAGGCUUUGGAUAUGGGAUCUGGAUCAGUGGAUGAACCAACUGUGAAGGUUGAACAAGACACUAUGAAUAAGCCUGCGGACCAGAUAUAAACGUUAUCACGAUCAAAUUUAUUUAGGGUGACUUGAUCACAAGCAAAGUCAUUCAAACUUACUGUCCAUCGAUCUGUGAAGUUGGUAAUUUAUUUGAGCAGUAGCCAUUCCUGUUGCUGCACCAGUAAAAAGUGAUGGAGCAUGGUAGCCUCCACCUAAUCCAGAGGCUCGACACAAUAAGGUUGCACCUAUCUUGACCACUACCAACUGAAGAAACUGAUCAGCUGAGAGACCUUUCUCAAAUGGUCGAGAUUCCAGCAAAAUGUGAACAUUCUCGAAACCCCGAUAAAGAAUUUCAGGAUAUGCCAAUGCCAUCAGCCCAAUAGCCAAGCCACCCACGAUAGGGAAAAAAAAAUUUGGUAGGCCAACUGUCUUGUGAAGAUUGUCAACAAAUACCAACACGUAUGAUGUGCACUUUGAUAAGGUUAACGAAACCAAGCCACAUAGGACACCCAGCAAUAGAUAUAGCGGAAGCUCUGAAAAUGAUACGAAUACGUCUCAUUAUUAAAACCGCAGCUUUAAACAAUGACUUGAACAUCAACCUCUAGAUAUAAAGGUAUGCCUGAAAAAUUCGUCCCAGUAGAGUGAAUAAACUAGUGUUGUAACACAAUCAUAUAUGAAAUUACCCAUUUGGAAUAUGCAAUGUAAAUCAACUACCAAAUAAUGGGAAAAUUCAGAAACCAUAUUCAGUAAAGGCAAAUCACAUUACCAGGAGCAAGUAAAUACCCCGAGAUUACGUACUGAUGCCAUUUUGAAGAACCAUUUUGAAAUAAAAUAAAAGAACCAUUUUGAAGAAUCAACAGAUAAUUGAUAGUGUACCAGCAGGUGAGCGGAAGUCAUAGUAUGGGAACUUAAAGGCUGGUUCAGAACAAAGACCAGCUUCUGAAACUACAGAAGCUAUCACCGCACUAAGUAUGACCAUAGAAGUGGUAUUCACAAGUGAAAUGGAUGAGGAAUUAGGUGGUGAUGGACUCUACGGGGAAAGAAACAACCGGAAACAGCAGCAUUAAACCCUGUCAAAACAGAACAACAAUUACAAUGAGGGCAUACAUGUAUUGAUAAUGGCAGCAUAGAUAUACACAAAACUGAAUACCAACCAGAAGCAAUUUCAGCAGCCACAUGAGAGAGCCUUCUCUGUGAAUUUUUAUCAAACACAGCACCAAUACCCUUGGCUAUAGAAGUUCCAAUCUCAACGCUAGAACCUCGGGACCUAUCGAGUUCCCAGUCCCAAGUGUGACACAAGCAGCAAUUGCCUUGACAAAAGGACACGAUGCUUCCUUGAAACCAUCAAAAACCAAAAUAGGCAUUCCCAUUUUCACAAAUAAAUUCUCUCCUUUUUUCUCCUCCUUGAUCAUUGCCAUUGUUAUCUUGUGAACCAUCCUCAAGAGCAUCUCAAAACAAGUUUAUUAUGGCAACAAUCAAACUGUUAAGGGUAAUAGAGGAUCACCAUAUCACAGUGCACUCAAGGCACCAGAUUAGUGCUUACCAUAGUGGUUAAGUAAUUGGUAGAUAAGACUGUUAUGUAAAACUGGUGACAGUUAUUUAUAUGUCUAUAUCCUUUUGUAUGGUGCAUUGUGGAAGUUAAUGAGAAUCAUUCUUCUCAUAUUCAUUCUCUCUCUCUCUCUAAAUCUCUUGGUUACUGCAAGAUAUUAGACUUCUACACAAACCCCCAGAAGCUGGAACCAGAAUCACCUGCUUCUACGUAUCUCCCAUGUACUCCUUUCUCAGCCACGAAGCUCCCCGUUGCCGCAUCCCACCCCAGAACACGUCACGUAUCUCAUGAACCUUCCCAUUCAUGUCAAAGUCUCUGAAAAAGCUCAAAACAUUAUGUAUAAGCAAGCAAGAAAAAAGCAAAGAAAAAAUGGGUAAUGAGUGACGGAACCUGAGGUUCCGACCCAAAUUGGAAAUGGGGGUGUAGCCCGACCCCUUAUAAGUUAAUGGAAGGUUCCUUAACUUUCUGAUGUGGUACAGUUUUUCAUAACCUCACGCGCCCCUCACAUGUUGCAGGACUCAAGCCAGACAGGUGGACAACACACAUCCUAAUCUCAUUAACAUUUACAAUUUGUGUAAAAUUUCAAAUAAAAGCUCAAAACUUUGCAAACAAGCAAGCAAGAAAAGCAAAAAUGGACAAUUGAGUAAUGGAUAAAAAUCAAACAUACAGAGUAGUUGAAGAGGACGACGCUGAUUCCGGUGAGCAGACCCACCAAGCUCAACGACAGCACUAUCGUCCAGUUCCCUCGGCCACGGCCUUGUACUCUGUUUUCAUCUUCCCCUUCUUCUUGUUCUUCUGCUUUGUCAUGGACGGAGUGGGGGCACAUGCCCCCUCUCAUCUCAUUUUUUUUUUGAAAAAUUAGAAUACCCUACAUAUUUUCUAUAGUUGUUAGAUUAAACAUUCAUCCCUUUUAAAGAUUUGAUUAAGGUGUUUCAAUCAAUUGCCACCUCAAUAAUUUUCUAUUUAUUUAAUUUCCGUGUCAUUAAUUUAAAUGUAUUUAUAUAGAGGCAUAAGGUAGCUUAGCAACUAAUUGCCUAUAAUAUAGGAAUUUAAUUUCCUCAAUCCCCUUCUGCGCAUUAAAUGACAUUUGUUUAAUAAAAUAAAAUAAAAAUUAAUUAACUAUUUCCUCAUUUCCUUAUUAUCAGUAUUUAAAAAAAAAUACUCUUUCUAUUAAAAUUGUAUCAAUAAAAAGUCUUCAAUACAUAUUUUUUUUCAUGUAUAGAUAUAUAAAAAAUAUACUUAAAACUUAUGGUACAUUUGAGAACAAAAGUGUCGACUUUUGGUACGUUUAGAUUUCAAAUGUACCAAGAAAUCAAAUGUACCAAAAAUUCAAAUGUACCAUAAUACCAAAUGUACUCAUUGUUAUGUAACAUUUUUGGUACGUUUAGAUUUCAAAUAUACAGAGAAACCAAAUGUACCAAAAUUCAAAUGUACCAUAAAACCAAAUGUACCUAUUGUCAGGUAAUCCUGUUGGUACGUUUAGAUUCCUAUUAUAUCAAAAGACCAAAUGAACAAAAAAUCUCAAAUGUACCACAAAACCAAAUGUCUCUAUCAGAUAACCCUUUUGGUACAUUUACAUUCCAAAUGUACCAAGAAAUACAAAAAAUCAAAUCCACUAUAAAACUAAAUGUGUCCAUAUUAUAGGUAACUAGACAUAGCUAUAUAAUCAAACAAAUCUUUACUAUGUGUUGGGUCUUCUAAAUAAUAAAAUUUGACAAUUUUUUUAUAAAUAUUCUACUAUAUUCACAAAAAAAAGUAAAUAUGAUAACAAACAAUAAAAAAAUGCAUAGAGAUGGAUAAUAAAUGCAUAAAUAUAGGGAUAAUAGGAAAAGAAAAAAAAAGAAAACGAAAUUCCUAGGAGAUGGAUAAUAAAUGCAUAAAUAUAGGGAUAAUAGGGAUAAUAGGAACUGAAAUUAAUAACCAAAAUUUUAGGAAAAUGUUUGAUCAAAUUUUCAAAAUGAGUGUAUGUUUAGUCUAAAAAAUUAAAAAACGAAGCGCCUAUAUCAAAAUGCCCCUUUUUUUUUGCAUUACACAUUAUUCAAUUAAUCAUUCCUUUUUUUUCUUUGCAAAUUAUUCAAUUAAUUAUAUUGAAAUAGUAAAAAUCCUCCUUUAGUUUUUAAAUGCGUCUCCGUCCUGUAUAUUUUUCUCACGCACUAAUGUUUAAACCUUGUUGAGUUGCAUGUAUUUGGUUACUUAGUACAAAUGAGUAUUAGAUUGUCAACAAUUAAAGACAAAAUUAGACAAUAGAGUAAUAAGAUUAGGCAUUUUAAAAUUAAUUUUUUUAGCAUUUGUAAAUGAACUAGCUUUAUUUGUCCAAAAAAGGAGCUCAAAUUUAGGUGCCCCCUCUUAGUUAAAUUUCUGACUUCGUCCUUCGUCAUCGUCAUCGUUUUGUUGUUUUUGGUGUUGAUUGUUCUGGUUUGGGUGUUUGAUGUGGGAGAGAAUAGGAGGAGGGUUUUUCCCGGCGGUGAUGAAGACGGAGAAGGUGGAGAGGCCAGGGAACAUAAAUGGCGGUGGAAGUGGGCGUUGGGGAAGCGCCAUAUGCAGCCCAGGCCUCCCCUUAGCUGUUACACCAGUUUAGCCAAAUCAAGAGUUAUCUUUUAAUGGUAACUUAUUAAAUAUAGUCCAUGAUUGGAAAAAGGCAUGUGGUGUAUCAGAUCGUAUUUUCGGUACACUGAAAAAUGUUCAACUUUACUAUUUAUGUUGUAACACGAAAUAUCCAAUUAGAAUCCAAGAUAUGUCUGUAUUCAUAACCUAUAGUAUAUGCACAUAUGAGCAACUAUUCUUAACAUUUGCAAAUAAGAAGAUGCAACUAUUCAUGCUAAAAAAUAGUUACGAGCACAUAAAUCAACAUGUACUUGAUAAAAUUCGAGAAAUUCGUCUCGGUGAUUGAGACAUUUGCUACAACUGAGAACAAAAGAAGCUUCCACAAAGGAGUUGCACACUUCAAUUCAGAGUGGCCGACUACAUAUGCCAAACUAACAUAUACACUUACAAAAAACGGAAACUAGACAAGGUUGUAGCUCCAAUAAAGAAUGCAUUAUGUUAUGUGUCAAUGUUUACUAAUUACAUCAAUUAUUAGGCUGUUUCUUUGAUUUUGAUCUAAAACAUAGUACGACUUCAAAGAUCCCCAAUAUUUUAUUUAAUAGACAUUUCCAUGCACAUCAUGUAAUGCAAGAAGUUUCAGGGACUAAUUAAAUAGCGAAAAUGAGGUGAUCACAAAAGGGAUCAAUCAAAAUGCCUUAAUUGUACCAACUAAUGAAAUUAUUUGAAGGGUUUAUAAUCAUAUUUAGAAUGCUAAUCAUUAAUCGUCUCCUUAAAGAAAAAUAGGAUGUGAAACCGACAAAACGUGAACACAACACCGUCGUGGACAUGAGCCGCUUGUUGGCCAUGAUAAGUGUCACACCCCGAUCCCGACAUAUGUCCAGGAUUGACACGUGAUGUCACCAAAUACUCGUAUAUCUAACAUACCCCGCCUCCUGAAAAUAUACAAAAUAUAAUUCAAGAUCCAGAUGCAUAAUAAUUUUUCGUAUACUUUAUAGCUGCAUCUAACCUCUUCAUUAGACUGCCUACGUACCCUCAAUAGGGAUCAAGCCAUUCGUAGUUCAACUUAUCACAAAAACAGACAUUUGUUCCACUAAGUUCAAGCAGAAAAGCAUCGCAUUCCUCAAUCAUUUAUUAUAACCUGACAACAUAUAGUUAUUGGACUCAGGCUACAUAACUAAUCCCCAUGAAAACAUGAUUUCUCUCCCACCAACAUAUAAAUCAUUGUGUCUCAUCAUGAUAUUGCAAUUUACAACACACAUCAUAUUUAAGAGCCGACAAAACACAAAACCAUUCUUUAGCCGCAUUAAUUAAUUAAUUUGAUCAAAGUAAUAACAAUCAUUCCAUAUCUUAUAAAUUCAUACCUUAUGAAAUCAUAAUCGAAUCCUAGCAAAUCCCGAAGGAGUCACUCAGACGUCCAACAUCUUUUCUAACUCAAUUCACAAGACUCUCGAAACCAUUGACACAAAUAUAUAUCAAACUAAGGCUAGAGUGACACAGUUAGGCCAAACCUACUUCUCCAAUUAAUGAGAUUUUAGGCCACUCCACGAAGUUCAACAACCUCGGGUUCCGGACCACUCAACAGAACCAAACCAAAUAUGAUCGCCUAUAAAAUGUACCAAGUACAACCAAUCAUCAUCACCUCUAGAAUGCGUAAGGUUCCCUAUCGCGGAUAUACCAAGCAGAACUAUAGGUAUAAUCUCAUCGUGCAGGCAGUGAUCACCCAUCGCGAAUAUACCAAGCAUGAUCACCCCUGAAUACAUAUGGUCUCUCAUCGCGGAUAUACUAAGCAGGACCACAUCCAUGUACCAUUUCUACGUGGUGCAAUCUCAUCAUCACACAUUAAACAUAAUUAUAUGCAUACACGUUAUCGAUUCCACAUAUCAACCAACAUCUAGUCAUAUGGAGCACAACACAAGGAAUUCCCUUAAUUACUAUUUCUACUAAAAAUCUAAUAAAGUACCUAACUCAUCUCCAUCUCAUGCUAGGUAGUAAUGCCAAGUUCAAAUAGAUAUUCAGUUGGCAAUCAUAUCCAAUUAAUUAUCAAACAAUAAUGAAAUCCCAUAAUUGUCAUAACAUUCAUCAUAAUUAUCAAUCACAUUAUUAAAAAGAUAAUUAAACACAUAUAUAUCACAAACAUCAUCAGUGUACAAGCCAAAUCCUAUUUAAUAAGCAUAGGUGUGAACACGAAAAUUUCCUGAAACGAAAGAGACAAGAACAACGUGCACAAAAUAAUAUUUUGUAUUUGAUGAUUUUGGGUUACAAUCUCUCUCAAAUUUGAUCAUCUGAUUCGAUCUCCAUAAGGUGUGUAUUUGUGGAUGUGCGAUUGAUCUAAGGCCCGUCGAGGCUUGAUCUUGGAUGAACGGCUGAAAGUUUCUUCAAGGGCCAUUGAGGCUUGAUCUUGAAUGACGGUGAUGAAUGGAUCUUCAAGGGUUUUUGGGCUUGAUCUUGAAGAACAAUGAUGAACAGAUCUUCAAGGGUUUUUGGGCUUGAUCUUGAAGGAUGGUUGGAUGUGUGAAUUUGUCGACGUUGUUGAUCCAAAGGGCCGUUGGGGCUUGAUCUUAGGAUGAACGGAUGAUGAACGAUGAACACUUUCUUCAGGGGCCGUCGGGGCUUGAGCUUGAUGAACAGCGGAUGAGCGGAUCUUUAAGGGGUCGUUGGGGCUUGAGCUUGAUGAACAGUUGAUGAACGGAUUCGUUGAUGUUGUCGAUCCAAAGGGGCCGUUGGGGCUUGAUCCUUGAGGAUGAACAGUUGAUGAACGAUGAACACUUUCUUCAAGGGCCGUCGGGGCUUGAUCUUGAAUUGGUGGAAAUUCUUCAAGGGCCGUCAGGGCUUGAUCUUGAAGGUGGAUAAUUGUUGAUCCAAGGGCCGUCGGGGCUUGAUCUUGGAAGAGACGAUGAACGAAGAACGAAUAGGGCUUUCUUGAUUCUUCGGGAACCUGGAUGCUUGAGAGCUUCGGAGUUUCAGAGCUUCAAGUAUUUUGCCUAAUGAUUUUGGUUUUGAAUUGGUUCCCCAAAAUGAAUGAAAUGGCUUGUAUUUAUAGAACUUUCCAACGCCUAAUUUUGAAUAUAAUAUUCCAGAUGAAAUAAGUUGUUUCUGCCAGGUGUUGACACGUGUCCUGUUUGAUGACUUUUCCUACUCAUUUCAAUUUUUCGUCGAGUCAUACGCUACGUGUAAAAUUUAUGUAAUACAUGAGCGUUGAAACUUUGAUUUAUCGGUCAACAUUUAUUUACCAAAAUUUCAAUGUCUACAAUUGCCCCCACUUUAAGGCGCGUCGUAUACAUGUGCUUGUCACGUGUAGGAGAUGCGUUUUAAAGUCCCUUAGUGUAGAUGUCGAUCCAAGAACCAUCAAGACUUGAUCUUGAAUUGGGCUGGAGAUUUCUUCAAGGGUCGUUAAGGCUUGAUUUUGAAUUGGGCGGGAACUUUCUUCAAGGGCCGUCGAGGCUUGAUCUUGAAUUGGGCUGAAAGUUUCUUCGAGGGCUGUUGAGGCUUGUUCUUGAAUUUAAACAUGACCACGAGCAGUUUCAAGAUUUGGAAACAUGGCAAGCAAGCAUGAGGUGAAGCUGAUGAUCUGUUUCUUUGUUCAAUCUUUUCAAUUCAUACCUGAGCAGUUUGGUCAACGGUAUGAUCUUCAAGGGUAGUGGAUGCUUGAUCUUGAACCAGACUUGUAGUUCACCAUGCUUUAGCGAGCCAACUCAAGAAUUUGAGGGUCAAAAGAAAUCCCUCAAAUCUAGAGUACUCUUUGACCCUGAUAUGAAAUACUUUUGGUUUUGAAGAAGUAGCGGAUGAAUCGGCCUGUACUUUGUCACGUAUGUCUCCACAUGCUUCAAUGUAUCAUUUUCACUUUCCUUAUCUGUUCUUCAGACAGAUGUGGCAGCUUCUCGAGUUUUCAACUCAGACUCCUUCUGCUAGGUUGAUUGUGCAGGCUGCAUUCUUUUCUGCUUGUUUCUUCUGCACAUUGUCUCCACAUGCUGCAAGGUAUCAUUUUCACUUGCCUUAUUUGUUCUCCAAGUAGAUGUGGCAGCUCUCGAGUUCUUCAUUUCAGACUCCUUCUGCUGCUGGUAUCAUUUUCGCUUGCCUUAUCUGUUCUUCGGGUGGAUGUGGCAACUUCUUUGGAAGUACAUUAGCAGUGGAAGAUGAGUACUCGAAAGCAAUACCAUGUAAGCAAUCAGGAAAGGAUUCCAAGCAGUCGGUUCUAGAUCGGAAGAUUGAUACCAAGUGCUGGCUGAUUGCUCUCAUUUUCCUUGUCCUGAAGGUUAGAACAAAGACAAGGAAAAUGACAUGGAGAAUGCAUGAUAUGAGAUACUCUUGCUUUCUAUUUUCAUGAUAUGAAAUACUUUUGCUCUUGAAGAUUUGUUUGCAGAGGUAUCUUAGGGGAUGAGGAACACUGAAUGACUCGAGAGGGUUCGUUGGAAAUGCAUUCUCAGAGAUGAAGAAAAGUCGAGUAUGUCUGCCUUGCAAUGGAGGGUGAAGGUGGACAAUUAUAGGAAGUUCUUUAAUACCUGUAGAGGUACUAUUCUUUCACUCGUGUCGGCAUUGGGUGAUUGAAUAGUAUGGCUUCACGUGCUUCCUACUUCAUGAGAAAUCUUCAACAGAUUACCCGUAAUUUCCUUAAAGCUUAGUGUGCAUGUGACAUGUGCUGACGAGGCUGAAAAGGACUAGUGCCUCUUCGAUAUCUGAGAUCAGCGCUUCGACAAAUUGCCCGUUAUUUUCGAAAAGCUGAGUUUGCGUGUGACGGGUGCUGACGAGGUUGAAAAGGAUUGGCGCCUCUUCAAUUUCUGAGAUUGGCCUGUGGUUUCUGAGCAGGCCUAGCUUUGGAGAAAGCAGGCGCCUCUUCGAUUUCGGAGCAGACGCCUCUUCGAUUUCUGAGUUUGCUCCCCUUCAAUUUCUGAGUUUUUAUAGAGGUAUGCAUUACGUUCGAAAACUCACUUGAAUUACUGCUUGUAAAAACUCCCUUUUUGCACAUCUGAGAUCUUUAAUUUGUCCGACCUCUUCAUUUUGUUAAACACCUUCGAAAAUGUCUCUCCCAUCUGACCGUCGUUUUGACUUGAAUAUCGGAGAAGAUAUUGACAUUUCUUCUCCAGGCAACAUUUGGCAACCGUCAUUCGUAUCCUCCAACGGUCCUCUUACAGUUGGGGACUCUGUGAUGAGGAAUGAUACAACGGCUACAGUGAUUGCUAGAAAUCUUCUCACUCCAAGAGACAGUAGGAUGCUUUCCAAGCGGUCUGACGAGCAGGCUGUUCAGGAUUCUCUGGCCUUCAGCGUUCAAUGUGCAGACUCAGUAUCAAACAUGGGCCAACGUCUUCUUGCUCGAUCUCGUCAGGUUGAGUCUUUGAUGACUGAGGUGGCUAGUCUUCGGCAAGAGAUUAGAGGGCUUAGGCACGAGAAUAAAGAGUUACACAUGCUCGCAACUAGUUACUCAACUAGUAUGAAGAGGAAGCUUGACCAGCUGGCGGAGUCCGAAAGUCGGGCUCGGAGUGAUCAUCAAAGGUUUAUGGCGUUACUCCCGAUGCAACUUUUGCCUUCGUUAUCUGGCGUUUCACCAAGUGUUGAGGCUCCGGAAAAUCAAACUCUGGCGCUUCAUCUUUCUGGAGUUCCGUCGAGUACUGAGGCGUCUUGCGAGCAAUGAAGGCUCAUUCCUGUUUGUUUGCACAUUUUUUGUAAUUUUUUUUUGGCAUGUGGAAUGCGAAUUUAUGUAAUUUUUAGAUAAAUAAAUAAAAGAUGGACUUUAUUUCACUAAAUGCAUUAUAUAUAUAUAUAUAUAUAUAUAUAUAUAUAUAUAUGUAUUUCAUAUGUUUCUCAUGGUGCCAGAUGCACCCCCACUUCCCUUUUUUUUUGUUUUUUUUUUCAGUGCUGGAUGCACCCACCACUUUUUUUUUUCUUUUUUUCUUUUGUCACAUGGUGCCAGAUGCACCCCUCUUUUUUUUUCUUUCUUUCUUCCUCCUGUGUCGUGCAUCCAGCAAGCUUCCAUCAUUAUCUUCUUUUUCUUCACGUGGUGCCCACACCACCACCUUCAUUUCCCUUUUUUUUUAAUCAUGCACCCACUAUCCUUUUUUCAUAUGGUGCCAGAUGCACCCCCACUUUUUUUUUUCACGUGGUGAUAGCACUACUUUGCUCCACCAUCCCUUUUUUUUUAUAUAUAUAUAUUUUUUGUAUAAAUUUGGGUGAUAGGUAGUGGAAUUUGCAAGGAGGGAAGACGAACUUAGAGCUCAAGUUUGAGAAAGAGCUUCUCGGCCGCCUAGUCUUUUGAUAGCGGUCUUUGAAGUUGUUGGCAGCUGCGAGGUAAGAGACGGAGGAGGAGGGGCUGUACGUGCUGCUAAAGCUGAUGGGCAAAAGGAGAAGGCGAGCACAGCCACCGAGCACAGCUACCGAGCACAACCAAUAGACUCCACCUCGUUAAUUCCCAGGGUUUCCCCAAAGACAAACUUGCUCCACGCCGCCGUCCUCAGCCCCGAAACACCAUAAUCUCCUCCGCAACGACGGAAAGUGCGCGGGAAGUAAAAGAACUCAUUCACAUCAAAGAAUCCGACCCAAUUGCAUUCGUAUUUUGCUCUCAAAGCGCAGUGGGAAAAGCCUACUUCUUGGGUUUUGAUCCACGGCCAGCUCUGCCUGCUGAUAUUGUAGUCUUGUGAAUCGAGCUUUCGAACGUCGUCGUCGCUGUUGUUGUCGUAGAUGAACCACCGCUUUGCUCGCCCGAAUCUCCAGCAGUCUGAACCUGGGCAUCUGGAAUUAAUUACGACAGGACCAUUUUCGAGAAGCAAUUAACAAGCUCUGCAAACAUCAGAUUGGAUGAUGCAGCUUUUGAAGCCGAUUCAAUAGGAAACUUCAGAGCGAAUUCAUGAAGUGGCUCUGGCAGGGACUUCAAAGCUUCGAUUUCGUCAUCGUCGUCAUCAAUUUGUUGACGGAGGUUUGACGGUCGUCGCACCGAGCGACAUCAAGGCCAGGCAGACGACUGGGAAGAAGAUGGAGGAGGAGACAUGUAUUUCAACAAGACUUGUCGGCCUCUGGGUCGCUUCUGAACGAAGCCAUUGUCUUUCUUGGAAGGUAAGAGAUGAGGCCUCGAUGGGUUUUGAAGAUGGGCGGUGGGCCGGUCGGAGCUGCUUCAGAAACGGCAGCCACCAUGAUAGGGGCAGUUCAAAUCCUCUUCACAUUGCGUCUCAGAGACUGACUUUUUUGGGCACCCGCCAUGUAGAUUCCCCAAAUAUAGCAAUGCAGAUUUAAGAAAUUACAGGAGAAUCUGAGAAAGGGAAAAGCAACGAGCUUUGCUUUCUCUGAGAUUGUGGGUUUAGAGAAAGAGAAAGUAGGUAAAGGGGAGAGAUGGCUUGCUUGCUGGGUUUGUCUCAUAUUGGGUCGAGAAACUGGCGCUAGCAUGGGUUGCACAUGGCAUUUGGGUUGUGUUCCUCAGCUGCUAAGACCUGUGUGUAGAUAAACUCGCAGAUUGGUGACUGUAUGGUGGGCCUGCAAAUAUGCUUGGGUAGAUUCGUACCUGGGCUUGCUGGUUUUGGAAAGAAUGGAGUUUUGGACUCGCCAGAAAGACCCCAUUUUAAUAUAUAUAUAUAUAUAUAUAUAUAUUUUUUUUUUUUGUACAAAGAAAUUGUAAUAACAUCAAACUUUUAAUAAAAUCUUUAUUCCUUAU
rnacentral:lncRNA from 1 species